rnacentral:lncRNA from 1 species
ACGCAGAGUUCCUUCUUCUACACAUACUAUAAGAUUGAGAAAAUAUAAACACUCGAAGUUUGUGCAAAUUAAGCAUAAUGGAAAUAAAAAGGAAAGAGAGAAGCAAUAUUCUCUUCUUUUUUUUUAAUCAUUUGGCAUGCAUAGGAAACCCGCUGUAGUCGUGUUGCUUCUCUGAUAACUCCAGCAAAACUCAGACAAAACCAAAGACGAAGGAAAUGCUUCCCUCUCAAAGACUCAAAACUAAAUAAGUUUAUCAUUUGGCAACCAUGGGUUAUCUAGUGAUGAAGAGUCAUUAAUGAGCGUUUAUACAAGUUUGAGACUCAGAAUUUGGAUAUUCUUUUUUGAUAAACAAAAUAAUUUCAUUGCCUUAAAUCCCAUACUAAGGGCACAUUCAACCCCAAACAUAUUUAAUAAACCAUUGAAUACAAACGAUCUUUAUUAAAAAAUAGAUAUGUAGUGCCAUAAAACUUCGUAUAUCUUUCAACAUCAGAUGAAUCACUCUAACCGCAAUCUAUGCACAUAUUUGUGUCUUAGUGAAGAAUUGCAGCCAUUCUCGAGAUGGCACUAAUUUUCGUUCUAGUACUACUAGGAAAAUAAGCCUUUCCUUCCUUGACCUAAAAUAGGUCACUUAACAUAAAUCAUUUCUUCUUGUGAAGUAGCAUUAAGUGUAUAACCCUCACAUUCCCCUGUUUUAUAUGAAAAAAAAAGUAAAUUUUAUAUACAUUGGUGCAUAUACAAUGUUACGAUUGGAUAUACGACACAAAUUCAAAAUUUAAAUUCAAAUUAUGUGUCAUAUAUCUAAUAGUAAAAGUAUAUAUACUAUCAGUGUAUGUAAAAUUAAUCCAUAAAAAAAACCAAUUAAUAACUGAUAUGUUAAUAUUGUGUGAGAAUGAAUUUUCUGGAUUGAGGAUUAAGGAACGCUAAUAUAGAGUCAACAUUCACUGAAACAAGAGUACUUGUGACUAAUGACACACGUCCCACACUUGAGCCAGUAAAUGAGGAUUGAGGACGUCUUUUUCUUUUUUUCUUUUGGGGGGGGGGGAGUGGUGGGAGAGGGGAAAGAGGGAUUGAUGAGGUCGUUUUGGUUGUGUAUCCAAGAUGGCAAAGAGAUUAUUGUGUUGUUAAUUAAGAAUUUAAGAUCAAAUAUCAGGUGAUCACUUCUAAAUCUUCCAUCCCUUGUCCCAUACUGCGAAGCGAACUCCUUCCUUGGUCCUAUUCAACGUGGUAGUUAUAAGCAAGUGACUUUACAAUCGUCCUCCUGUCAACGUGUCUCGUUCUCACUGGUUGGUCCUUGCACAUGGCAUGUGCUCCUUCUUGCCCUUUUUCUCGUGUAAUAAAAUGUGGGGCUGGCACGUGGUGGGGUCCCCUUCCUAUUGUGUCAGACUCAGAUCUUGCAUGGGCUUCCUCACAUGACGGAGAUUAUCCUCCGUUCUUAAUCGUCGUCUGCCCCUCAGUCUCACACGCGUCAUCGCCGGACUUAACGGCCGUGACGCCACCCACCCGUGAUUGCGAUUUGACAAUGAAGUCGGACCCACCAACGUCGUUGCGCUGCUUGCUCAAAGUCGCUGUCCGAUAAUGAAGGCUGUUACACAAACAAUUCUAACAAAACAAAUGAAUUACCACUUACUAAUUUGCUAAGCCCCAAUCAUAUUUUAUAUCUUUUUUUCCCAUAUCGAUAAUCACUAAUAAUACUUCAUACAAUUUUUCCAUAUCAUAAUCACUAGUGACGAAACCAAUAGUUGGCCACCAAGGAGAGUUCUAAAACUCUCAAUAGCUGCAACAUUCUUGUUCAUAAUUUUCUAAAAAUUUACUAUUUUUCUUAAUGUAGAGUAGGAAUCAGUAUAAAAUAAAAUAUAUAUAUAUAUAUAUAUAUAAUCACUAGCUGACAAGGAAAAAAAAAAACGUCAUGAUUCUUGGUCGCAACUUAUAAUAACGAUAGCAAACUAACGAAGUGAGUGUAGAAUAAACUAUUGCUGAUCGUAAAAAAAAAAAAAAAAAAAGCAGGGAACGAGGCACUAAUUGGUAACUUGAGAAUUCACAGCAUUCAAAGUUAUUUCAGCACCUGAGGUUUACUGACAUUUGUUGAUUUUCUUGGCCUUAACAAGGCGCAUAAAAUUUUGCUUCUAAAUCUCGACCGCAGAAUAAAUCAAAGCAAAGAAAGAGAUGGGACAGUUUUUCGUUGGGAUUAAAUGCUCAGUGCAAGUCAAGGAAACUGGGACAAAGCCAUGAGUGGUCGUAUCGUUAAAAACUGCAGAGUGCAACGUCGGGCGGCUCAGAGAAUCCAAUUGUUGCAUCACAUAACACACUAUUGCGUCUCAUGCAACGAUAUGCAAGUACAAAAACAACUGCCCCCUAGUAUCUUUUGCAGUUAGAGCCGACCUUAUGCUUGGGAUUCUGUUGUCGGCCUUUUUCCCUUCCCCUUUUCUUUUUUUUUUUUAAAAAAAAUUUUAAUGAUAGUACUUCACGAUUAGGAUUGCAAAAAAUUUACUGCCUUAUUUCAAAGUAAAAUUUUUACAUUUUUUAUCAUAUUUUUAAAUUAAUUUUUUAUCUUACAUAUAUUAAAUCACUAUAAUAUGUUUUUUCUAUAAAAAUUGCAGAAAUUAGCAAUCCAUGCUUUUGGCAUUUCAGCACUUUAUAUAUUUAUUUUUUUUCUCAUGUAUAUCAUUAACAAAGCUAUGGGCACUCUUUGAUGGAUAUCACUUGAUUUUUUUUUUUUUCCGAUCUAAAGGGAUAUCCUAGAAUCACCAAGACUGAUCCCCUAAAUUGGGCAGAGCUCGCCCCUAGUUGGGAUAUUCUGUUGUCGCCACUAAUUAUAUUUGACUCGAUGAGAAUUUUGUUGUAACAACAAUUAUGGUAUUAACUGUCAAGAUUUAUCCUUUUUAACCUUCGUGAGACUUAGUGCCUGUUUGAUAACAUAAAAAAAUGCUGAAACUGAAUUCAUUCAGACAUUCAGAUGUUGUGGGUGUUUGAUAAAUAAAAAUUCACCUGCUGAACUUAUUAAGUGGUGUUGAAUUUUUAUGUAUUUAUUUCAGCACAAGAAUCAUAGCUGAAUGCUUAAUUUGAUAAGAAUCAAGAGAUUUACUUCAACUACUUUAUCUUAUCUACCAAAUAUAUCCCUGUUUGUUAAUUACAUUCAAAAUCCUUAUCUAAUUAAACAACCUAAUAUUCUCUAUUCAAAAUCCUUAUCUAAUUAAACAAAACAACCUGAUAUUCUCUAUUCAAAAUUUUUUUUUUAACAAUAGUAUUUUUUUGCAGUAAUUUUCAUCCACAAACAUUUAUAUUUUGAUAUAUAUAUUUUUUGUGCAGAUAAAUAUUAUUUAUGUGAUGCAGCUUAUCCACACACACGUGACUUUAUAACACCAUAUCGAAAUAUUAGAUAUUGGUUGUCUGAUUUUCGAAAUGCUUCUCGUCCAAAAUCAAAAGAAGAACGCUUUAACUAAGCACAUGCAAAAUUGAGAAAUGUAAUUGAACGUGCUUUUGCAGUAUUAAAAGCUCGUUUUCCCAUUCUCAAAACGAUGAAACCAUACCAUUUUCCCAUACAAAGAAACAUUGUCAUUGAAUGCAUUGCUCUUCACAAUUAUUGUCAUUUUCAUACCUAGCAAUUUUAAGUUAAUUAAAUUAUAGGUUCUAUUUCCUUUUUGGAUUAAAAGAUAGAAAGGCAAAAUUGUACAAUUUAGCUUAUUAAGCAUUAAGUUAUGAAUAUUUAUCAAACAGUAUAAAUAGAUUCAGCAUUAAGAUUCAUACAUUCAUAUAUCUCUUUUCAGUGCUUAAAUUCAGCAAAUUAAUUAUUUAAGUAUUCAGAAUUCAGAUUCAGUGUUAUCAAACGGAGCCUUAGUGAAAUGUGGAAAUAUUAUUUGUGUUCCAACUUCCAAAUGCUCGUCUACAAAAAAAAAAAAAAACUAUAACAUAUUAAAAAUUUCGCAAAAAUAGAUAUUUGGGCAUUCCGGUGUCUUGGUGUGGUAAUCCCUUGCCUUCUCACGGGCGAAUCUCAUCUAACAUUCAUUCUCUCUGGAAGAGGAAGUUGUGUGCAAUCCCCACAAUUUGUAGGAAAAGCAACAUCGGAAUGCUUGAGAUGUCAAUCCCGUCGACAUGGUGGAAGAAUAUUUAUUUAUUUUAUCUGGUGAAGCGGUUGGAAUUCUGGCCCAACAACAAGGUAGGAAAAAUUCCUCUUACUUGUCAAUCCCGUUGACACAGUGGCAGAAUUUUUAAGAAGUUGAUGAGGCCUUGCGAACCAUUUACAAUUAGCCGCCAAAAACCUCCAAAAUGCGGAACUCUGGUCAAAAAAUAGUCAACCAACUCUCAACCAUAUAUAUAUAAAUUAAUUUUUUAUAUAUUAAUAACAUAUAUAUAUUAUUAAAGUUGAAUGCUUAACACAUAUAUAAAAUUUAGAAUUUAAAUUUAAAUUCAAAUUAUAUAUCAUGUAUUUAGUGGUGCAAAAUAUAUAUACUAUCAGUAUAUAUAAAAAAAUUAAUUCAUAUAUAUAUAUAUAUAUAUUAAUAUUCUAUACACUAACAGUGUAUAUACUUUCAUCAUUACAUGUAUGACACAUAAUACAAAUUUAAAUUUAAAAUUCAAAUUUUACAUAUGUGUCAUAUAUUCAAUCGUGAUAGUAUAUACACCAUCAAUACAUACAAAGUUUACUAUAUAUAUAUUAAUGGUAUCACGGGGUAACUUACUGCUUAAAAUUUAGGGUCCGCUCAAAAGGGAUCUUGCCUUGUCUGCCAAUGCAAUCUUCUCGUACGUCUCUUUUGCUUCUGCUUUGCUUGUACUCCAUAUUUUACUAAGUACCAUCGAUUGGGUGGAACCUUUGGGGGCUGAAAGAUCUCCAUGCGCAUUCGUAGCUGGGGAUAAAGUUAAACGUUGUACGAGCACAUGAAAUCAUCUCAUAUUUAGCAUAUCUAUUAUCUUUAUGCAUAGUGGGGUACGAGAUAUUAUACUCCCUCCGUCCCACUUUGAUAGUCUUAUUUUUCUUUUUAGCCUGUCCCAAAUUGUAGUCCACUCUUCCAUUAAGAAAUGUAGUAAUCUUUCAAAUUGUCUAAAAUACCCUUAUUAAAUAUCUUGUUAUUAAUACAUUGUUAUUACAUACUAACCCACUACAUUGAAUACAUUAAACUUUUUCAAUACUAACCCAUUAGCUGUAACUGAUAUUAAUUGGCACUCUUCGUGAUUAGCAUAAGGGUAUUUUAGAAAAUUAUUAAUCUAAAUUUAUGUUUCCAACCAAAUUAAUUACACUUUCUUAAUCUGUGUGAAAAAAAAAACCAAGACUAACAAGACGGGACGGAGGGAGUAUAUCAAAGCGAAAUGAUGCCAUCUAGUCUAGUUAUAACUUAAAAUGAAGAGCGCACUCCGACAAGAAAAUCAACCGUGGCCAUGAAAGCGAUAACCUAGGCCCUAAGUUGUGUGUCACAUUCACACAAUACCUAAAAGUUCUAUGGACGACAAAAUAAUAUUAAUAUUUGGGGAAUGCAACCAACGAAGCGGUUAGCUGACCAUUAAAUGCUUUAGGCUUUGGGCUACCGUUAUGAUGUUAAGAUUUUACUAUUAAACUCAAAAUUUCAUGUCUUUUCCUUGCUUAAAAAAAGGGGGAAUGAUGGCCCUUGAUUGUAAUUGUUUUUGUUUGUAAGGUCACAUAAAAUGAAAUCUUUGAAAUUUUAAUUCAUGGGUGUUCUUUCUGAUGGCGUGUAAAGCAACAAACGGUCAGCAGGCGGUUAGAAUAAUACCUGCUUGUAUGUAGGACCUUGGUGACAGUUUUAAAUAUUACAAUAAUUAUUGCUAUAGCUCAAAUAGCAUACAGUAACAGCGUCGGUGUUUCCCUGUUGUAUUGGAAUUCUGAUUUUUUUUUUUCUGAUAUUCACCAGCACUUCAGAGUCCCCAACAUUUGGAUCAACGGUCUACGCCAAUCUUCUGGCCAUGUCACUUAUCUUUCUCCUUUUUGAACCCCAAUUAUGUCACCAAAAAAAUAGAAAUUGAAACACUGCUAAAUGUAAAAGAUACGACAUGCUCUUUUUUUUUUUUUUUUUUUUUUUGUGGAUACAAAAAAAUUUUGGUAGCUAGGCUUGACCCUAGUCAUCACCAUAGGUCAGACAUAUAUUUGGAAUUAUAGGUCACUUGUAUGAUUCUUAUAAAUCAUACACUAAUACAACUCUCAUAUCAACAGUGAGAUCGAACACACGUGAAUACAACUCUCACAUUGGUAGUUGGAAUCAUAGGUCACUUAUAAAAACUAUCGUACAUCAACAUAAUCCUCACAUCAGCAGUGAGAUUCAAAUACACAUCAAUGCAACCAUCGCACCGACAGCGAAAUUCAAACAUGCGAUUUUUUUUAUUAGAAAGUGGUCCGUAUUUACCAAUUGAUCCAACUCGUGUUCUAAAAGUGGCCCGUUUCUUAUUUUCAUUGCAAAUAUGCUUCCGGUCUUAGUAAUUAACCAAAAUUUCACAAUUGUUCUUGAUGCUUCCGAACUAAAAACUCAAAGGAUUAAAUUCGUAUUCCGAAAGUUGGGAGUCCAAAUAUGCAAUUAGUCCUUGAAUAUACGGCACGAACCUAACUGAUUAACGGGAUAUUUGUCUGCACUUAGCACUAGAAACCAAGGAAACGUUAAUAAAGCGGAUGCCCCACAAUUAUAGGAAUUAGAAUUCCAAUAGAUUCUGCAUCAUAUAAUGGCCGCAGACUGGUCCAAGCUUGUUUGGAAAAAAAUUUUAAAAAAAAACAUACAUUACAAGAUUUCAUCCAUCUUUAAUUUUAAAAAAAAAUGCAAUAAGAUCAAACGCAAGUGCGCCGUGUAGGCCUGUACCUUCGCGAUUGGCUGAUGGCCUAAGACUGAGGCUAUUAUAAAAUCUAAAGAGCAGAGCCGAUAUAUAAUCUGAGUCCAUUAUCUUCCUUGAUUUGCGUCUAUUUGCAGGUGGUCUCAUAUGCUGUGGGAAGAACGGGAUGUUGAUUGAACAUGCAGUGCUUUGGAUUUUUCGCAUAGAAUAAAAUGUGAAAGCUACUUUGAUGUUUGUUAUAUCAUGGUAGGGGAUGUCUGGCUUAUCUGACUCCAUCCGUUGCUCUGUUAAAAAAAAAUUUUUUUUUUUUGGGCUCUAAUUGAAUUUAUUUCUCAAUCAGGGACAAAGAAUUUGGUCACACAUCGUGGAUUUCGAUUUGAAUAAUUGAACAUUCUUCUUCAUGGUAGCAGGAUGGAUACAAAACUCGUUACGAGAGAAGUAGAUUAGUUACCACAUUCCCUUUUCUUCGAGUUGAAAAGAAUAAUUACUCCUAGAGAAGGGUCAUUCUCAAGGAGUUUAAGCCGGGAACAUGCAAGAAAUCAGAUAAGAUCUAGAAGAGGGUCCUGUGCUGAAGGGUCUUUAAUCGACAGUGAACAGCACGUGUGGCAGUUGGGACCAAAAGCUGUAAUUAGGUUUAUGGGAGUUAAAAGAACGCGCAUGAGUCGAUGACGACGAUGAGCCAUGAAGCGUGUUACUGGUUUUGGUUUUUGGGGGUCAAUGUCCCUAAUGAGUAAUGAUAUCGUAAUGGUUUAAAAGGGAGAGGCACCAUUUAGUGUGGCAUGCGAAUUGAUGAGAGCUUGUAAUAAAACUUAUAAAAGUAAUAACAAGGCAACUGUGAUUGAUAGCAUGUCGGGAAGUUUUAUUAGUACUACUUAUAUUUUUCUCCUUUCAGGGCUCAGUGCUGCUACUCCAAUUACUGAGGAACUUCUGUUCCGUGUACCUCAGUCAUGUCUCUACCCCAGGUCCGGUUUUUGGGUAUCGUUAUUCUUGUUUUCUAGUUACCUAAGAAAAUGUUUGCAUUGCUUGUUUUGAGGGAAAAAUUUUAUUUGGUUUUUUUUUUUUUGAAUUAUUUUCUCUAAUGCAUUUGUCAACCACCUUUUUUUUGGGGAUAAUUUCACAAACCUCCCCUAAUAUUUAUGACAAUUUCACUCUGCUUCUCUUAGGUUUUACAAAUUACAUUGACCUCUCUUAUCAUAAUAAAAUGACUAUAAUAACUUUCACUUAAUAAAUAAUUCACAGCAUAAUGAAAUGAGAUUUUAAAAAAAAAACCUGACCUUUUCAGACUAUUUUGUUUACAAGUUAUAGCCAACGAUGAUUCUCUUUCAUUUGCUAUCAAUCCGUUCUCAUCCAUCAAUCCCUUCCUUCUAUAACUCGUUCUCAAAUUACCACCAACUAUUGCCUAUAACUACAAUCAAUCACACCACAAGUGAUCCCUCAAACUUUACUAUGUAUUCCUAUUCCUCCUUUCUUCUCUUUGGAAUUGUCAAAGCACAUGUUUAGUUGAGGGAUUAGAUUUGAUGGUUGAAAUAAAAUUCAAUUUCAUGGUCAGACUAAAAGGAGAUGAAGAGGCACACAAUAAUAAUGGAACAAAUAAUGCAAUCAUUGACCAAAAGAGGAAAAGGGAUUGAAAUUGAUAAAUUUACUAAUUUGUCUAUCAUCUAUCCAAAAAACUUUUUAAGAUGUUAAUAAGUACAUUUAUAUUUCUUUUUAUACUUGACAAUUGUUGGUUGUGGCUUCGCUAUGAAGAUAGAGUUUUUUAGACUAUGUUAUUUAGUUUUGAAAAAGUGUGGGCAUUGGGUUUGAAAUUUGGGAUGUGAUUAGUUGUAAAUAAAAUUUUGGGUUUUGGCAAAAUAAAUUUCUUGAAGAUCUCUAUAGUCAUAAUGCUGUCAUUUCUUCUCUUAAAUUUGAUUAAUCCCAUCCAUACUCAAAUCUCCUCUAAGGAUUUUCUUCUUGACCAUAAUGUGGUUCAUGUAGUAGGAGUUGAGUCACUUAUAUGGAAUCAAAUCACAGCAUUCUAUGUUGAAGAUUAUGCAAAUAUAAGUGCAGUUGAUUGUGUGUUUAACUAUUCUAUGGAACCAUAUGGUGAGAAUAUUUCUAAAGUAUGUAACUAAUCUUCAUAAUUGAAUGCAUACUUUGGGAGAAGCAAGUUUAUGACUGUGAUGAUGGAAUUGCUUGGGUUUAGAAUUUGGAAUUAGACUAUUUGUUAGGCUAGUUUAUUAGUAUAGUAGGUUGGGUUAAAAUAUGGGAAAAACCAAUUGGCAAAACAAAUUUUGUUUUAUUUUUAUACAAAAAAGGGCAUUUUAAAAUAUUUGAGAAAAAUAUAGCCUUUUGGACCUAUAUUGUUACAGUAAAAGCAAGGGAGGUAAGUGUAAUUUAAUAAACUUGAGGGGAGGUCUAUGCAACUGCCGGAAAUCUCGGGGGAGAUUUCUGAAAUUAUCCUUUUUUUUUAAAUCUAAAUGAAGUCAGUAAUUACAAUUUCGAGUCUCUGAGUAUGAAACUAAACAUUUGUUUGAAUUUGGUGAUUUUGGGCUGCACUUUUCUAAGAUUUGAUAUAUAUGUAAGACAAGAAACUAGUUAGAAAACGUAUCAAGGGAAUAUUGUAAAUUUUUUCCAAAAACUUACAAAUUAAACUAUAAGAAAAUUAUUGCUGUGUGAACCCACGAGGAAAUGGAGUAGGAAAAGAAAAUAUUUUGAGUAGAUCAAAUAAACUAUUUACUGCACAAAUUAACAAGUACAAGAUCAUCUAAGUUUAACAAAUUAAUGUUGGAGGCAAAUCCAUGAAACAAACACUUUUGGAGGUAUUUGCUUGACUUUAAGAUGUUAUAAAAUUUAACGAGAUGAUCAUGUCAUGUGGUUGUCUUCUCUAUUAUUUGAUUGGCAUCCAAAUGAUGAAACAGACAUGUUAUUGGUGGGUGUGAAUUUGAGUUGGCUUAAUUUAGUUCACAUGCCAUGGAACUUCCUAUGCAUUUCAUUUGGAUAAUGUUUAUAGAAUCAGGGCUACGUGUCAGCCGUGAGGGAGCGGUGGCUGGGGGCCAGAAAUUUUUUAAUUUUUUUUUUUUUUGCUUGUUGGGGGGAGUAAUAAUUAUAAAAUAAAACUGCUCAACUUAUUUUUAUUCCACAGUAAAAUUAUUCAUGAAAUGACAAAUUUACCUUUUCUAAGAUGAUCUCAAUCUGUAACUGGUGAAGGGCAUGGCUAUCAUUUUAUAAGAAAUAUAUAUGUUGCGGAACUAAAAUUUGUGCUUGUCAAUUAAUGCCUUUUACCUCUCUGUUUCAUGUUAUCUUGCAUAGAUCUUUUCACAAAUAGCUGAUAGCAAUAAGAUGUGCUUCUAGCAACGGAAAAAAAAAUGGUCAUUAUUGUUAGAGAGGUCAUUUUAAACAAACUAGUAGUAGUAAUAUUUGAAAAAAAAAAAAAAAAGAGUAAAAAAGCAUUAGCAUUGCUAGCUAGUUUUCUGUUUUCGUGAAUCCUGACAAAGGAAUAAUAAACAAAAAAUUCACGUACUCGUGCAAUUGACAAAUGCGUGCACGUGCAGCAAGGGAUCCGGAUUUACGCAGCUCCACAAGAUUGAAGAUUGAAGAUUGAGGGGCUAUUUCUUGAGCGCUGCUUUGGUGAUUGAAUUCCGCUUACCGUAUUAUGCAAGACACCACUAAUGUUUGGUGCCUUUAGUUGGAAUAUAUUUCAGAAGCUUCCCAGAAGACAUGCCACUUUUUAGUUUUACACAAUGUUUUUAAACUCGGACCGGUCAGUGAACUGGAGAGGUGGCCGGUUCGCGGUUCGAUCGGUCCGACCGGUUCAAAGGUUCAUUGUUUUUUUUUUUUUUUUUAGUGUUAAGUACUAAGCAGGUUUCAUUCUACACUUGAACUUUACCAACAUAACUUAAUUUAAGUUAUGAUAAUAAUAAAUUUUCUAAAAGUUAUACACAAAACAUGGAAUGAUAAAUAUAAUUAAAAUAUCAUAAUUCACCACAAGUUUUCAUAAAUUCAUUAUAAAUAUAAAUAGAUACAAUCCAAAUGUGCACCAAUUAUCACAAAUAAAAACACAAAAAAUAAAUAAAUUAAAUAUUGAAAUUCUUUUACAACCCUUAAAAAAAUCCAUAAAAGAGUUCAAGUUAAGACAAACUAUUUGAAUAGCAAACUUUUAUCAGUGACAUGAUAAGCAACCACACCACCUUCACAAUUUCAUCAACUUAAGCUGAAAAAGUUAAAAUUUUAUUAUAAAAAUAUAAAUCUAAUUGCUCAAACUAAAAAAAACUAAAAAUUUUUGAAAAACAAAUAUACAGUUAAACACAUAAAAAAUUAAUUGCUACUAAACAUUACUAAUUAACAUGUUAUAUUAAAUUCAAUGAUCCUAUACCAUUAAUUAUUUUAAAUUCAAUUAUCAAUAGCUUCGAUUAUGUGCCAACUACUAUAUUUUUGACCAACCCAAUGUUAUUAUUUGUAAUUCCUACCCAAUUCCUACACGGAUGUGCACUACUUUUGCAAAAAUUUCAUCCUUAAUUAAUCGAAUAAAAAUAAAACAAAAAUGAGGGGAAAAAGAAGAAAAUGCAAAAAAUCAACUAAAGAUAAUAAUAUAGAAAAAAACCUUGAAAAGAAAAAAAUUAAACUUACUAAAAUGUUGGAAAACAAGAAAAGUUAAAAUUUUCAACUUGUUUACAAUCUGCUAAAGUUAAUAACCUGAUAAUAAUGGUGAAGACUUGAGAAAAUCUUGUUGUGGAUAUUUGGGUUAAAAAUGGUUAAGAAGAAAAAAUUGAAAAAAAAAAUUAAGAGAAGAACUUGAUGUUUUAAUAUAUUUUUUAGUCAAGUAGAAUUCUCAACAAACUUAAGUACAGUCUAGCGGUAAGAUUGUCAUAUUUAAACUUGGAGACCCAGGUUCAAAUCUUAACUACACCAUUCUUGAUAUUUUAUUGAAGAAUUUAAAAAUCGCCAAUUCACAGUUCUUAACGGUUCGUCCGGGUUUCAACGGUUCUUCAUGAACUUCCGGCUUUAACAUUAGACCGGACCGGUGACAUGGCCGGUUCGCGGUCCAACCGGUCGAACCGGCCGGUCCGGUCCAGUUCUGAAAACAUUGGUUUUACAUGCAAGAUACUAUCCCACUCCACUUUAAAAAAAUUAAUUAUAAAUUACACAACAGUUAAAAGUACAAGAUUUGAAGGUCUGAGUUUUAAGUCAAUUCUCGACAUCGUACCUAGUAAUCUUUGGGUUAAGUGGAAAACACCACAACUUUAAUGCACACUUGACUAAUUAAAUGCAAGCAGCGAGCCAUACACCAGCAUGAAUUACUCCACUUUUGCGGCUUUCUGUCCUGAUCAAUCUAAAUCUUCUACCAAACACACACGUAAUUUGAAAUUUGAAUGGUUAGUAUCUAAUUGUCAGCUGCGGAUUUGAAUUUUUUUUUUUUUUUUUGGGUUAAGUCGUUCUUCAUUAACUAUUCAUAUUAUUUUUAAUGGUCUACUAUCGAAGUACGAAAGACUAGCAAAGAACAUUUUGUCUCCCUCCAUCUCGCUGCCCCAUGCAUUUGGGCAUUCCUACUUCCUCUACUUCUCCUUUCAAUUGCUAGAAGAUAAUCAAAAUAAUUUCACAAUUUGAAUAUGCAGUCAAUGCAUGCAACAAAUGACAAUAAUAUGAUUAAAGUCAAAUAACGUUAUUGUCUAACUCCAUUUCCCCCUCCCCUGAUUACAGCGCAAAAGAUUGCUCCGGCAAUACCGCAAGCUUCGAACUUCAGUACCAGGAAAAAGAGCCGACAAAUGACUUUGGCCAAAUUCUCUAGUCCCAACUACUAUUUGUUACGCAAAUUCGGUAGUGUGAAUACACGACAGUUGCAAUAGGACAGCAAUUGAGCAUUACCACCGAAAAGAGAAAAAGCGGAACUAUGCCCACUCGGGAGACGAUAAUGCUAAGGCUCCAAUCCAACUGCAGCAAAUGAAAAAAAGAGUUUAGAAAAACCUUUUAAUAAAACUAACACCUUUUUUUUUUUUUUUUUUUGUUUACGCAGAGGUAUCUGGAUCUAUGAACUGGUUACCGUACGACCCAACUAAUUCUCUGCAGGUCGGGAGAGACUGCCCAACAUCACAGACCGUAGUACCCAGAAUUUGAAUCUUUGCGGUGAUACUCACCUAACUAGGCUACUACUACCAUCAACUCUAGCCCUGGGGGCUUUUAAUAAAACUAACACCUUAUUCAUCGGGAUUCAAAUUUUUCCUGUUCCCAGAGUUGACAACGUGCGUAGUAGAUUAAACAUAAACAGGAAACAACUGCUAGCAGGAACUCCGAAAUUGAGUCUUGAAGGGUGAGGCUUCAGUGACAGUAGACAAAAAAAACCAAAACCAUCGAGCUUAUUACCAGCAUUUAGCACAUACAAACCAAAAACAAUUAAGUUCCCUUAUUGCGUUUACACCUAACUACUUCUUCUGCAGAGUUUACACUAAUAGAGGAGUAUUAUCUUCUUGUAGACCUUACCAGAAAUAGAGAGCAUUUAUUUUUGUAUUCAACUACUGAUGAAUUCUAGUGGGACUUUUUCCCAAUGAUGUUUACUCUACAAAAACAUUAGCUAACACAAUUUUGAAUUACUCCCAUUUUAAAAUACACUUUUACAUCUAUAAUCUCCUCAGAAAAUAAAACUUUUAAUCCUAGUCCUCCGAUGGCACUUGUUUGACAAAUUGUUUGUCAUAUGACAAGGGAUUUGCCGCAAAAGAUGACUAUUUCUAAGUAUGUACAUAAAAUCGUCUGUCCGUACAUUCUGCAAAGAGUUCAAAUUUAAAAAAAACCAACAACAAAAACUCAAAGACCUAUCGUAUAGAAUCUAAAUUUAGCUAUAGUUUUAACUCUACAUAUAUGCUUCCAAACUUGUAUAGUCUUGGUCCAAAAUCAAAUUAUCCUUGAAUGAACUUCAUAACAAACGAGUAUUACCGAAAAGAAGAUUCGUACUUUACUAGGAAAAGAAAGCCAUUUUGUAUUCGAAUUUUCAAGAACUGUAAAUGUGAUUUAUUUUUUUGGGGGGGGGGGGCAAUUAUAAACAUCCCUAAUCAAUCAAGGUUGUAAUCCCAAACAAGGAGGAUCACAAGUUUGCAAUCGGUUGGUGGCCGGGGCAUCCCAGUGAAGGUACUGCGUGGGAACGCUGGAAGCAUAGCUCGACCGCCGGUGAUUGGCAGUAGUGGGACAUCCUGCCGUGAUCGUACCAAAACCGUCGCCAGCCCCUGCCGGUAACUGCGGAAAUUGGUCUCUUUUAACUUGUGUAUGACGUGUUUAGAUUUUUCGUUUCGAUCACUUUUGUAUUUUUACAAAUUGUUUUUCUUUCGUGACACUUUUUCCCAGAGGUAAGUACCUUUUUCUGUUUCUGAAAAGGGCAAAAGGAAAAAGAGAUUUCGAAUUUCUUUUUCCUAAGGCCGUUGAUUGCGGUUGGAAUAAAGAACUUCUUAUGUGGACCCACUCUUUGACCGCAUCUUCCCUCUUUUGUCAUUUUACGCUCUUACGCUUUUUGAUUUUCUAGGUUGAGAAAACAGCCUCAGCUUUGGGAGAUAUUCGCGAGCAAGCCAUCGCCGUAGUCAGUUUUGACCGUCAGUAACAGUAAUAAAAUAUUAACCGCGUGAUGUCGGUGUUCCAUCCGACGCUAAUGCCAGAUAGAAAAUUUUGAAGGGGCUGAGCCGUGAGUGUUGUUUGUCGGGUUAUUGAAUGGUCUUCACAGCCGGUCAAUUUAUAUGAUUCUGGCCCAAAAUCCAUGCGUCCUUCAGCUGCCACGUUGUUGGGAAAUUUGCAGGUGGGAGAUCCUGGAGUCAUUUUCACCCGAUUCACUCUACUAGACAUGGGUCAAAUCAGCGGACUAGCCUAAAUAAAUCGGACCAUGUUAAUUCAGACCGGGCGGGAACGGUUGUCAGUACAAUCGUUUCAAAAGUUUGUGUAUAUUUUAUACACGGUGUAAUAUCAUUUGUAUACGAUGUAAUACUAGAGAAUAACAGCGAGUAACCCUAGUACAAUAUUUUAUGGGUCCCAUACAUAUUAAAAUCUGGAUCUUAUAAAUUUUAUUGGCCAAAUCUUGGCCAUUAACUGACAGGGACGGUAACCGUCCCUGCCCCUCAACCUGUUAAUUCUGUAUACUUGAAACUCUUCUUUAAACUUGAAUUCUGUAUCGAAACUCGUUGAACAUUUUUGUUAUGGUACAUUCUAAGAUUGAGCCUCAACUUGUUCAUUCGAUAUUAGUUUGCAAAAGCAUAACUAAAGUUCCCAAAAGUCCAAAUCGUUGUUUUUUUUUUUUUAGUUAGUUCAAGCUUGCGUUAAUGUUAACAAUCAAUUUUAAGCACAAGCGUCUCUUGAAUUGGUACACAAUUUUGUGUUAAAAGCUUGCUUCUAAAUAUAUCACUCUUUAAUUUGUUCAUCUUUCAUUCAUAGGAAAAUAGGCAAAGAGAAGUGAUUUUUUUUCCUUUUUUGUAGCAAAAAAAAAAAAGUAAAGCGAAUAAGAGAGAAAAAAAAGAAGAAGAAGAAAAAAGCAAAGUAAAAUUUGUAUGCGUGGAUCGUCGUAUAAUUGUGAAGAGGUUAAUAUAAAACAGAAUUUCGACUAUAUUAACACACGAGAUAACUGUGAAUUUCAGGACAACAAUCACAAAUAGCAUGAGGAUCAGUAUGGCUUUCUUUACAUUCAUGCAGAUCGAACGCAGGGAGGGUUGGAAACUGUAUUAGAUCUGGUUGGUCACUCGUGAUCACUUCCAUCCUUUAUUCCCUUUGCGUCUUUCAAUUUGGCUGCUCUUUCUAAAUUAUGUUUGAUCUUAUACAAUCAUGAUGAGUUAAAAAAGCAAUUUAGAUCAGAACUUGGGAUUUCGCAUUCGUGAUCUACUAUGUUUAGACCAUUAUUAUUUGGUUGCUUGGCUGUCAAAAGAUGCUUGAGUAGUUAAAGCGUUUUUACAAAUGAGAAUUAACGCAGCCAACAAGGGAGGCGCUCAAGGCAAAUAAAGUCAAUCUUCUUUCUUUAAUUUAAAUCCCUUAAUGAUGAUGAAGGAUAUGAUUGUAGUCACAUGACUACGUUCAUCUUUUUACCAGACUUCCUGGCUAAUGGACUAGCGUUUUACGUUGAUCUUCUAGGAUUGAUGAUAAUCGUUGCAUUUUUCACCCUAUCCUUUGUAACCCUUUUUAAUGAUAUUCAUUUUCUUCCGCUCUUCAUUGCUCAAGUAUGCAGUAAUUUCUUUUUACUGCACAGCAUAAGUUAAACCGCUCCGGCUGGAGACGUGCGUAAAAGUUACUCCUUGACAAACUACUCUAUAUACUCACUGAGUCUGGCUCACUGACCAUCAAGGAGGGGUAGAGGUUCAAAUUUCAUGUGCUAACGGAAAAAAAUUUAAGAGUGGUGUCAAAACACCCUUUUAAUUUAAGUAAGAUCCGUGUACUUACUAAUUCCUAACACAGAGUCUUUUUAGACUUCCAUUUUUUUCCUGUAAUUUAAGAUAGAAUAGAUUAUACAAUGAUUAUUUUCUCCUGAAAAAAAAUAAAAGACAAACUAGUCUACGUGUCCAUCCAGUUACCUAUGAGAGGCGAGACCCGUUGGUUAGUUAUUCAAUUUGUUAGUAAUUUGUUCAUAAGAUUCUGGAUGCGAUUGGGUUAAAGAUUCAAGCGAAAAAUCCCCGUUCAUUGGCCGAUGAACUCUUUCCAAAUGAUUAAUGUAGGUUAUUUACUAGUUGUAUUUAGCUUAGUCCAUCAUGCAGGUCAGCUCAAGUGUCCAUGGCCAAGUAAAAGACUAAAAGCUAGUAGUGAAAGCUGACAAAGAGUAUUGACUACUAUGGUUGAGAGGCACUUGGCAUUCAGGGGGGAAGAGGUAAUCAGGUAAAGGUCAGGAUGGACAAUUUGCAAUUGAGCAAACGGAGACGGACGCUCAAAAGACAGACAGAGUCUGAAACCUUUUUGACUCUUUCCUCUGCACCCCCAUUUUCUUAUUUCUUCUUUACUUCUUCGGGUAAAUCCUCGUUCAACUCCUGCAUCCAACCCACUUCUCAAUCAGUAUUCAUUUUAUAAAUUAGGAGGACCAGGAGGCAGGAGCCCUCUAUCCAUCCCCUGAUUUUCUGCAGUAAUUCCACCCCUGAUUGCCAUCCCAUAGGCCAUAUCACGAAGAAAAAAAUAUCCAGCGCCGACCCUUCCUAGCAAAAGCGCCGAAACAAGAGCACAUGACUCUGCCCUUUUCUGUUUCUUUCUCUCUCUCUCUUUUUCUUCCCCACUCAAAUUAUCAGCUCAUUAACCCUUGACGAAUAAAACCAAAAACAAAAAAAAAAAAAAUGCGGUAGUAACAACGUCAAUAAAAUACUACUAGUUCAGCAAAUUAAAAAUUACAAAACUAGUAAGUGCAUUAAUUUCUGAACAAUUGGCACCUUCCCUCCACCCCCACCCCCUCUUCGACCUCCAUAUAUACAAGCACUUCCCCUUCCCCUCACUCACCUCUUUCUAUUCCUCUCUAUACUUUAUUCCUGUUCUUCUCUUCUGGGGUAAGUUCCUCAGAAGUUAUGCACUAGAUUAUAAACAAAACCAACAUUGGCAUUUUCCAUACAGAAGAAGUUAUCACUUCUGUUUUCAGAACAGAUCUAUAUAGUCGCAGAAAUUGAUUUUUGGCGUCCCUUUCAGUUUUUGGAGCAAGGGUUGGCUUUAAAUUAAUGGAGAAUACUGUGAAACUCUGUUUCAUUGCUCCUCUGUUUCUGCUGCUUGGGAUUCUUCCCUUAGCAUUUGCGGGCCACGAUUAUAGCGAAGCUCUAAGCAAGAGCAUUCUCUUCUUUGAAGCUCAGAGAUCUGGUUACUUACCAAGAAACCAAAGGGUCCAAUGGAGGGGUAAUUCUGGUCUCAAUGAUGGCAAGCCCAGCGGGGUAAGUUCAACUAUUUAAGCCACAUUUUGAUGUUUUAACUUCUGUGGCUCAUUUUUCACGUGCAAUUGCUAAUUUAGCUCAAAUUCUUGAGUUGUCUUAGGUGGAUCUAACUGGAGGGUACUAUGAUGCUGGAGACAAUGUGAAAUUUGGGCUUCCCAUGGCAUUUACAGUGACUAUGAUGUCCUGGAGCAUUAUCGAGUAUGGGGGGCAAAUGGCUGCGAGCGGUGAGCUUAGCCAUGCCAUGGAUGCCAUUAAGUGGGGCACUGACUAUCUCAUCAAAGCUCAUCCCCAACCCAAUGUCCUCUACGGGGAGGUAAUGAAUGGUUCACUCUAAUUUGAAAAAGAAAAAAAAAAUUAACGUUUGAUUAAAUGUUGGGAUUCGUUGCUUAGAUUGCGAGCAAUUUUUUUAACUGUAGAAAUCUUUUGGUCAAGGAGUUUGGUCUACUUGCACUGCCACUUUUGGCCAUCGCGAUUCCAACAUUUUUAAGAAACCACAAAUUCUUUCGUAGUUAAAUCUAACAUUGGACUUUCCAAUUCCAUUUCUUCAAGAAACAAUAAUAAUAUUAUGAAUUCUCUUAAAAAUCAAGUAGUGAACCGGUACGUCAUUUUCAGAGAAAAGCGAGAUUCGUUUAAUACGGGAUUAGGAGGUCCCCUGUUUUUUUUUUUUUUAACAUUUUUAAGCAUUGGUGGGAUUAUUAUUAUUUUUUGGCAGGUUGGAGAUGGUAACACAGACCACUACUGCUGGCAAAGGCCGGAGGACAUGACCACGUCAAGGGCUGCUUACAGAAUUGACCCAAGCAAUCCCGGAUCUGACCUCGCUGCUGAAACUGCCGCCGCAAUGGCCGCUGCGUCGAUCGUUUUCCGCCGUUAUGAUAGUGCAUAUUCCAACGAGCUUCUCGACCAUGCUUAUCAGGUACACUCAUACGUAUUUGCAUAGUCAAAAUGUUGUUGUUUAACUUUUUAUUAAUUCCGAAUCUCUAAUGUCGGCUUCAGACCAAAAGUUCUCUGAUAGUACUAGUAGUGUUUACUUAACUAAUAACUGGUUUAUUAGUAGUAAUAAUACUUAGUUAGUGGUCGCUGUCCGCUGAGAAUGUGUUCAUUGGACCGGACGAGGGAGCGAGAGGAUCCGGUUUGGUUUCCUCUCCCCUACAUUUUUUUUUUUUUUUUCAGAAGAAAAGAGAAAAGAGUGUCCACCGAGAACAAUAAUAGUAAUGAAUGAAUUGGCGCACGCUAGCAACAGUUGAUUGUGCGUAGGUUAGCAAAACGGUCGCGCAGUUAAUAGGCAGUUACGAAGGUUCAGCUUUUUGUCAGGCUGGUGGUUGUCGGUGUAGGCCGCAGGGAGAGGUUGGAAUGCGUUCUGCUUUUACGAAUCCCAUUGAAGCUCAAUGACUCCACCUUUACAGUCUUCUUUCUUUCUUUCUUCUUUACUACUCCAGGAGUAAUUAUUAAGAUAAGAUAAGAUAAAAGAACCCAGCAUGCUUUCUUCAAUAUUCUAAAAAAAAAAAAAAAAAACUCCUAGUUUUACUUCUCAGUCAAAGUUGGACUACAGCCAGCCAGCCAUAAAAAAAAUAAUAAUAAUAAAAAAAUCGAUCUUCCAUGUUGCUAACGCUAGCUAGCUUUUGAACUUUUGAAAGACUUUCACUAAAGAACCCAGACAUUUCACAUAUCAGCUGCGCUUUUUGGAAUGAACUACACUAGUACACUAUUUGCGCUCUUUUUAUCAAGUGGAAUGGAAUAUGCUUAUCUUCACCGAAAGAGGAGCAAAGGGACUUCAAAGUUCCAAAACAUCCCCUUUCUUUUUCCUUUCGUCGCUGAUCAGUACAGACUACUGUUUCGAGUAUGGAUUGGAUUCUUUUCUUUUCUUUUCAAAACCUGUAUGGAUUCUUUAAACAAAAGAUAAAUGGCGUUUACACUGAGGUCCUGGUGAAUGAAGAAGGAAGGGUCCAAAAUUGAAAAUUAUAGAUCAGCACAGCAGGAGAGACCAACAAUGGCGAAUCGAUAAAAAGUGCUGAGUGGUACAUACUCUUUUUUUUUUUUUUUUUUGCCCUUUAUGGGUUAAUAUAUGUACUCACUAGUGAUAAUUAUUGUGGCAUUGAUUGAUAGCAUUGCCCAUCAUCAUCCAGUUCAAAUGCUGGUGAAGUGAAAUCUUACGGCGCGAAAAACCGAAAAAAAAAAAAAAUUUUCUUCAUGGAGGACGUAGGGCCCAUCUUAGCCGGCAUUCACGGGCAAUGUCUCUUAUUUGUACGGCUUUGAUGUACUUCCAAAUCCCAACCGUUAAUUAAAAAAUGAUCAAAGGUAAAAUCUACGGGGUAUGGAGUCUGGGCCCGUAAGAUCUUGAAACGUGGUGUGUUGUCGGUGGGAUUCGGAGUUUUGGACCACUAAAAAUAUGCCCCUUCUUCUUUUAUCGUUUGGAAAAAAAAAAAAAAUGCCCCUUCUAUAUCUUUCUUUUCUUGGUUUUCCUGUCUUACCCUUCAUUUUCACGAAUAUCCCCCCCUCUCUCUCUCCGGCGGCUCUAAUGUAGUACAGUAUUUGUUGUCGUGUUCAGCUGUUCGAGUUUGCUGAUAAAUACAGGGGCAAAUAUGACAGCAGCAUCACAGUGGCCCAGAAGUACUACCGAUCUGUUAGUGGGUACGCGGUACGUGAUUCCUCCUCCUUUUUUUGUAGCCAAUCUAAAUAAAAAAUUAAACAUUAGUGCCAUUUUUUUUUUUUUUGGGCACCCCUCCAACUCCCUUUAGUAAAAGUACAUUUCACUCGCUUUUAAUUGCAGGACGAGCUCUUGUGGGCAGCAGCCUGGUUGUACAAGGCAACCAACAACCAGUUCUACUUAAAUUACCUAGGCAACAAUGGGGAUGCUCUUGGUGGGACUGGUUGGGCCAUGACCGAAUUUGGGUGGGAUGUCAAGUAUGCUGGCGUCCAGACCCUUGUUGCCAAGGUAAAAUAUUUUCUAAUCCAUACUAACUAUUUUCGAACAGUUUUCUUGACUUCUAAAUUGUUAUUUCCAUAAAUGUUGGACUCAGUAACAAAUAAUCAUAUAAUCAAAGGUGCGCCUGGAUUGAUUCAUGAACUAACAAACCCGCUUAUUGUAUUGUUUCGUUGCAGUUCUUAAUGCAAGGGAAAGGUGGUCGUUAUACAGGGGAAUUUCAGCAAUACCAGCAAAAAGCCGAGGCUUUCAUGUGUUCGUGCAUGGGAAAGGGCAAUCAGAAUGUUCAGAGAACUCCAGGAGGCCUCAUUUUCCGCCAGAGGUGGAACAAUAUGCAGUUUGUCACAAGUGCCUCAUUCCUUCUCACUGUCUACUCGGAUUAUCUUGCUUCUGCUGGCAAGUCUCUCAAGUGUGCUUCUGGCUACGUAUCGCCAUCUGAAAUGCUCUCAUUUGCUAAAUCUCAGGUAUAGCUGCUGUUCUCUACGAGUUUUAACCGACGCGGCGCAUUUCACCUCUUAUCUCUUACAAUUGUCCUGUGCUAACUACUCGAUGCUGGGCUUCAUAUGCUACUGCAGGUGGACUACAUUCUUGGAGACAACCCGAGAGCCACGAGCUACAUGGUUGGAUAUGGGAACAACUAUCCUAGACAAGUUCACCACAGAGGUUCAUCCAUUGUCUCCAUCAAGGUAGACCCCUCAUUUGUGAGUUGCAGAGGGGGUUAUGCCACUUGGUUUAGCAGGAAAGCAAGUGACCCCAAUGUCCUCACCGGUGCUAUUGUUGGAGGGCCAGAUGCAUACGACAAUUUUGCUGAUCAGAGGGAUAACUAUGAGCAAACUGAGCCUGCUACCUACAACAAUGCUCCCAUUCUCGGUGUCUUGGCUAGACUACAUGGUGGCCAAGGCGUUUAUAACCAGCUUCUUCCAGGUAUGGUAGAGAGAGAUUGAUCUGUUUCAAAGUCUUGGCCUAAAUUAAUCAUGCAGUUUUCGCUUAAUUUAAUCAUGCAAAUUUGGUGCAGUGGCUCAGCCUAAACCAGUCCCACACCCGAAAUUAACUCCAACUCCAGGUAUUAUUCUUUUCCAGUUGUAGGAACUUAAAUCCACUAUUUUGCAAUUCUCAAACCUUGCCCAAGAUACAUUGCCUGAUUGGUGGGACUUAUCUAAUGUGAGGGUUAUUGUAUCGCAGCUUCAUCCUCCAAUCCAAUUACUGUUGAGCAGAGGAUGACAGAUUCAUGGCUUAACCAUGGAAGAACUUACCAUAGAUACUCUACAAUAGUGACUAACAAAUCUGACAAGACAGUGAAGAAUUUGAAGAUUUCAAUAUCUAAGCUCUACGGCCCUCUGUGGGGUCUCACAAAGUUUGGUGAUUCUUACACAUUUCCAGCAUGGACCAACUCUUUGCCCGCAGGAAAAAGCAUCGAGUUUGUGUACAUCCAUUCUGCUUCUCCUGCAAAUGUAUUGGUGUCGUCCUACACAUUUGCUUGAGACAAGAAGAAAACGCAUUCUCAGCCGAGGUUUAUGAGUUUUAUCGAAGUUACAUAAGAAUUGUGCACAUAUAGAAGGAGCAGCCCAGAAGGCCUACCUAAAACUUCAAUUACUCGUUGAUUUGCAAUCUGAGCAGUGUUUUAGUUGCAGUUAGGUAAAAUAAGGGCGAAGCAUGGAGGAAGAAAGGAGUGAAGAGACGAUUUAAAAGUGCUCAUCCUCUUUCUUCUCCACUUCAUUUAUGAGUUUGCAUAGAAGAAUUGAGAGACAGUCAAAAAGAGUGAGAUUUUGAGAAGUGAAGAAAGGUUUCACAUCUCAAUAGGGUUUUUAAUGUUUUUCUUCUACAGCAAAGCUUUGAGGGCUUUUUCUUUCAACUUUUUCAACUCGUUGUGUGGUGAUAUUGUAAGGUUUACAGCUUUUCUUGAUCUCAACAUGAAUAUAGUUGGUGCAAAUUUGUGAUCAACAAGCUUCUCUGUCUACAUGGUUAGUUCUUACAACUCCUCAAAAUGCUGUGCUCGUUGUUUGUGACAUAAUGAUUGUGUCUCAUCACGAACAGGAACACACUACUGGGACUUGCAGUGCUUAUUGAACAGUACUUAUUCUACAAAAAAUGAUCAAGAAAAAAUUGACGAAAAUCUACUACUAGUUUAUACAGUUUGUUGUUUGAGAAUUGAGAUCAAUUUGGUCAGCCAAUGAAAUCUACAACUGUGCGAAGAAGAGACACCUGAUUACGGUCAUGGACUAUUUCGUUGAGUAGCAUUGCACACUUGCACAGGACCGCCGGUUCAAACUUAUGUACCUCUAGCAACACUAAACUGGCUAGUUGCUCGUAAUACCUUUUCUUUGGGCCUUCAGCCUCGUAUUCCAAACAGUACGUCUAGCCCAACUUCACAACAUCAUGCGGUGUGUGGGGAGCUAACAACCUGGGUUGGGCAUAUUAGAGGGUAGCAGGAACUAAUUAGUGCUAUCUAGCUGAUAAAACUGCUGAAUUCGUAUACUUUCAUCGGCAGAUUCGCUAAAUUUAAAAGAGAGUUGACGUUAAUCCAGUUCUAGAAAAGUAGCUAAUCAUAAAAAUGAACACCUUAGCCUUUAAUUUCACGACGAAUUCACCUUCUGCAAUCCCACCAAUUGUCCAAAGGAAUGAAUUUGAGUGAGAAACGAACGUCGUUCCAACCAUGUCCAAAAUCAGAGAAAUCUCCGAUGUACAUUGCACGUUCAGAUCCUACACAACAGCGAGGAGAGAAAGGGGGUUGGGGGAAGCAGAAAUGACAUUAACACGAGUAAGUACAAUCAACUAGUGGAAGCUUUGCUGCUCGGUUGGUUGCUUGAGAUCAACUACGAUUAUGCUUAUGUUGUCUCUGCUUCCUUUAGCAAUAGCUAGCUGAGCCAAAAUUGCUGCAGCUUCCGCAGCAGCACCAGGUUCCUUCGACAACCUUUUGCUGAUCUGGCCAUUCAGACACCUCCUUACUACUUCACAGGCAACGUCAUUGGGCACCACAUCCCACAGGCCAUCAGUUGCUAUGAUGAGGAAGUCGUCCGACUCUGUUCUCUUGCAUACUUUGACCUCUGGCUCCGAGAUCACGUAGGGCUUCAGAUAGUGAUCGCCUGUUUAAAUGAAUUGGUCCAACAAUUGAAAACUGGAACUAUGAUCACAAAAUGCCGGCGAUAUAAAUGGAAAUUUACGUAAAAGUUAUUUGCUAAACCUCGAAACUUUUUUACCGAUUUCAGAUUGAAGCCUGUUUGUAUCCCACGCAGAUAUUAACUGACAAACUUUAUUUAGAUUGGGACUCGCAGACGUUAAUGAAGACAUGAUAAAUUAGUGCAGCAGGAUUAAAAAGAUUCAUAGUCCCAGAGACAAGGAAGAUAAGAAUAGUCCAAAUUUCUUGAAUUAGGCAUUUAUUUGCUUAAUGAUCAGCAAGGUCUCCUUAACUUCAUGCAGAUAAUGAAAACACAAGCUGAAGCACUCGAGUCGAGUCAUUUUUCCACAGUAUGAAUAAGAAGAUGAUGUACCUAUUGAUCUUGAAGUAGCAAGGACUCCCUGUACACGGCAGCCAUCCCAAUCGAUGAUCCUUCCACCAGCAGCUUCCACCCUCUCCUUCUCAUCAGGCCUAUCAGGCUGUUUAAAAUAAAAUGCCAAAAGUGAAAGCUAAAAGAAAUUAGUGUCAGAUAUGCUUUGAAAAUUAAGAAUGCCAAACAUCGAUGAUUACCUUAAGGAUAGGAGAAAAAAAAAAAAAACUGUUGCUUUCGUUCUAACAAUAUUUCUGAAGUUAACAUGUAGACAUAAGUUAAUAUGUAGACAACUAGUCAACCAACAACUUCGAAUUUAAAUUGUCCAAACCACCUAAAGAUCAUUUGAAGAGGGUCUUACGAAUUAUUGAUCCCCAGUGUUAUAUUUGGUAUGUUAUGAUUAAACUCUAGCAACUUAACAUAUCUGGGUACUUCAAGCCCUGUCUACCAUGUUUUGAUUGCAUUUCAAAAAACAGUGAGAAGACAAGUGUUACCUAGAAAAAUCAGUGAGAUGCAAUGUGCAUGAGAUUUUUUUAAAAAAAAAAAAUUUGAAAAUAUAAAAAGAUACUAAGAACAUAUUUAGAAAACAUGCCAAAAAUCUUUUAUCCAGAAAGUGCUACCGAACUAGCACUAAUAUGAGAAGAUAAGUACUUCGACGAAAGAGAUAAAGAAAAGGAUUCAGAGUUGAGUCAUGCAAAUCCAUAGUGGCUGAUAAAAGGCACUUUAGUUCUUUUUUUUUACAUUGUGAAUUUCCUGUUUCUGCUGGACACUUUUGUUUUUGUUCCCAAAACAGAAAAAAUGUUCGUUUUCGCUUGGAUGGCUUAUUCGGCAAAAUUUCCUUUGUGAUGUGACGUUCUUUAAACACGUUUCUUAUUGCCUUGUUAUUUUUUCACUACAUUUUUAACCUCACAUAUAUGAUAUAUAUACAUAUAUAAAUAUAUAUAUACACAAACACACACACUCACACACUAGUAGAUAAAAAUUUUUUGCUCCAAAUGAAUAGACUUCAAUAUUUGGACCUUUUGCCACCUUUGUGAGUGAAGUGGGUCGUACAGUAGAUAUUUCUGGAGCUGGAGAAAACGAGUCAGAAAGGCAACUAAACGAGGAAACCCAAAGGAGUUGCUGGCAUUUCCAGCACACCUCACAUGAUGCAUGCAAACAUUGCAGUGCUCCUAAAACAUUUCUGAGUCGACGUCGACAACAAAACAAAAGCAGACAGACAUCGCACGGAAAGCGACAAAGCGAAAGAAAGGCACACGUAAGACGUAAACGAUCUCCUAGGUGACACCUCAACGCCCUCAGAACAAAAACAACCCAACCCAAAGAAAACAAAAACAACCCAAAACAAGAAAAAAUAACAAAAAGGAAAAAAAAAUCCAUCGUCAACAUGACAACACGAGAGAAUUCAGAACUUCACCUUAUGAUCAUUCGACAGCGCCAUCGCUCUUCCGCCACGACACAGUACCGCCCUUGAGUCCCCACAAUUUGCCACCACCAACUCCUCUGGCCCCACCAUUACCACCACCGCCGUUGACCCCACCGCCCUCUCCGCCUCCCCUACUUCCAAACCCCUCACCCCCACCACCUGCUCAUCCAUUCUCAAGAAACACGCCGUCAUCACUUGGCUCCAAUCAACUCCACUUUCAUUUUCCGACGAUAAUACUUUGUCCCUCGUGUUUGCUUGGAGCUCUUUUUCUACCAAAUGGUGCAUGCGGUCACGGCAUGCAUUGGCCACCCUUGCCCCGCCGUGACCAUCGUACACUGCGAAGAAUUCGUACUGUCCGGCCACUAUCCCAGGCGCCACAGUCAAUGCAUCCUCCAUUACCCUCCUGCGCCCGAUAACCGAUACCGAUCCGCAAAUUAACCGGGUCAUGCUACCGCGAUCUUCCACUUCGCCCGCCACUCCCUCUUUUUCACCAACUUCUCCCUCCGGUAGAUUAUCUCCAUCACCAGGAGCAGGGCUCUUUUUUGAUGCAGAACCUGAAAAACCCAAGUCACCGCUCCUGUUUCCGGCAGCCCCUUUCAACUUCUUGUCCUUCAGGGAAACAUCUUCGUCUGCCGGUGCCUCGUUGGGCUUGGAGGUUGCCACCUUGUAAUCAAAGCUUCUCUUUCUGGCGCAGCUGCAUGCAUCCUUGUCCUCGCUAAAAUGCAAGGGCGGUUUCAAGCCGGCGGUCAUCAUUCGCCUAAUCUGCAGCCUUUUCCGGCGAGCUUUCCUCGCUUUCUUUGCAAGAAGAGUACCCUUUGUAGUGCUAGUUUUGUGGCCGUCGAGAUGGGAUCUCAUCUUAUUAAAACUUUCUGUUUUAAAGAUUCGAUAUCAAUGAAAUUAAACAUUUUUCAAAACAAUUUUCUGUUUUGGUUGGGGGUGGACUGUGGAGUUGAGGGGGAGGGGGUUUUGAGUGAUUCUUGGAUUGUAAAGACGGGAGGAGAGGGCUUGUGUGUUUUGAACUUAAAAAAGGGGAGGCAAAGAGUGGUAAGCUAGGACAGUUAACGUGGGUAGAGGAGGAGACUGGACAGUGAAGAGUACGAGGAAAAGCAGACACGUAUGAAGGAGGAGGAGUGAGGGACGGAGGUGGUGGAGGAGGCCAAGGGCGCGGGAUACUUGUUAACUACAACUUAUUACUAGUACUGGAAAUGGGAAGACGUGGACGGCCUACACUUUAAUUUCUAUUACACGUAGCGCAGCGGGAAAAGGUCGGCCCAUUUCGGCUGGCGGGGUACCUUUUUUCUUUUUUCUAUUUACUAGUGUUUUGACCAGUGCAAUGCGCAGGAUUAUAUUUCAAAUCAAAAUAAUAUUGUAUAUAUUUAUAUAUUAUGGUACAAAAUGAUAAAUAUAUAUAUGUUAAAAAUUUUAAAGAAGUGAUGCCUAAUAUUUUGAAAAAAAAAUUAAUCUAUAAUAAUUUAUAGGAUAAAAGAGUUGUUAACGCAUUUAAGGAGAGGGUUAGAUUGGAUGGUAAGGUGAAAAGAGUUUUCUUAAAAAAAUUAAUUUAUUAAUAUCCGACAAAAUAUAUUAUAUUAUACUCAUAUAUCAAUACUUAUAAUAUAAAAAAAUAAAUUAUAACGAAUUUAUUUUCUUUCAUUUUUAGAAAAAAAAUCUUUCUCCUAUUUUGCACCCAUAUAAUUGUUGAAUGCAUUUAGAUUAGCAUUUUUCAUAAACUUUAACGUAUAUUUAAAAAAAAAUCUCCAUAAUAUUUGUUUUUAGAAUUCUCAAAAUUAUUAAAAUUGUCAUCAUUUCCCUCUUCUCUUAUCCGACGCCUAAUCAUCAGAUGCCUCAUACGACUUUUAUAUUUUCUAUCGUAGUAUCACUCUCUUUAUUAUUAUUUUUUUGUCAUCUUUAUCAUAUCCCUGCAAUUUCUUUUCUUUUUCUCUCCCUUCUCUGCCCAUCCUUGUAACCCAUGUUUCUUCUUUAGCCUUUCCUGCCACUUUUCAACUUCUUACCAUUUUCUUCCCUCCCUCCUCCCCCUAUACCUAACCUCUAAAUUCAUAUCCCUGCAAUCCAAUAUAUUUAACUUUAUCUAUCAUAAUAAAAAUUAAAAAUUAAAAAUUGAUUAUAAUGGUUGCAAUUAUUAAUAUCUAAAAAUGGGAAUGAAAAACUAAUAAUAUCUAUAAUAUCCUCAAGUAUUACAAUCAAUAUAUAUAUAUAUAUAUAUAUAUAUAUAUAUUUAACAUAGCAAAUACAUAGCUGCAUAUCAGCAAUAAGAAUACAUAAAUAAUUAAUGAUGCCAAAAGUUAUCCUUAGUGUUUGGGUUUUGCACUCUUAUUCAAAUCUAAUGUCAAAUUUGGGUCAGAUAUACACAAAUUAAAUAGUAUUUUAGGAUUGAAUGUUCUAUAUCUUUCUCUUAAACUAUAAUGUUACUUUUUUUAAAAUUUUUGUUAGAAUUGGUGUUGUUAUUAUCAUUAUUUUUUUUAUCAAAAAUGAAUAUUUCAAAAAAAAAUUUCCAUGUUAAAAAGCUAGUAUUACAUUGUUUUUUUUUUAGUGAUUUCAUAAUUUGGAUUUCACAAAUGGUCCAUUCUUUAUUUUUUAAAUCCACGACAUUAUUUCAUGAAUAUUUUUUUAUUUAAUUUUGCCCUUUUUCUUAGGAUUACUAAGUUAAAAGAUAAAAUAUUGUCAUUUACUUUUUUACUUUUACUAAGUUUGGCAAUGCUUUCUUUUUAUUUACCCUCCCACUAAUAAACUUCAAACCAAAUUCCUAUAUAAGUGGAGUCACUACUUUUUUAAAUUAAAAAGGCAUGGAAACUACUUCUUACUUAAGAAAAUAUUAUUUGCACUUCAUUUUUUAUUAUUUGCAAUUCGACUAUUUGUUAUAUCAUAUAGUAUAAUUAAUGAAAAUUAUAUAACCAAAUUGAUUAUUGAGGUAUGAAUAACAAAAAUGGAGUGUGAAUAAUCUUAUUUGUUUAAAUUAAUAAGAAAGUAUGAAAAGAUGUUAUAUUUCUUAUCUCUUCUUAUGGUCUUAUAGAAGUUUUAAUUGUUGUAAAAUCAUAAAUGCCGCAAGGCAAUCGGAAAUGUGAUGGGUUGAAGUUCAAAUAGGAUAACAUGCAUAUUAACCAACAAUUUGAAAUGAAAUGAUUUUAAAAAGUAACCAACAAUUUCAAAUGUGAAUAGUAGAUGUAGAAGUUGAGAGGAAUAUAUUUUAUAAAUUAAAUUAAAUGUGAAAUGCUAGAAAAAUGGAAUUGGUAGUGGGAAGAUGCGUAGAGGCUUGUUGCUAAAAAUCCCUUCUCAAAUUUAUAUAUAUAGAUUGUGGAAAAUGUUAUUUAUAUUUAUAUUUUAUUAUUCACGCUUUUUAUCACUUUAAUCAUAUAAUUUAUUUAUUUUUAUUUUUAUUAUUCACACUCCCAUUAUCACUUUAAUGUGCAGUUCAGUUAUUAGACAUUUAGACUAUAUGACUAAAUAAAUGAUGAAUGUGUUAAUAACCAAAAAUGAUUACAAAUAGCAUUUCACUUAAUUUUCUACCGCUUUUUAAUUAACUAGUACUACUAUGUUUAUUGUUUAGGGGCUCGAUGAGAUGAGUUGUAGAAGAAAACGCGGCGAUUGCUGGAUUUUUUUUUGGGCUUUUUCGGGACGAAGGAGAAGAAGUACUAGAGGAGGGGUGGAGGGAGGGGGUUUGCGCUAGUUUCAAUGAGCAGCCUUCUGCGUAGGGAUAUACGCGAGCCGAGUCGUAAUCAAGUAACUCGCGAGUAGCUCGGUCAACGGCUUGACUUGAACUCGGGUUGACUGAGUUCGAGCCGAGUCUCGAGCUACUCGAUUGUCAUUCGAGUCGAGUUUCGAGCCAAUAUUUUGAGGCUCGAGGCUUGUCGAGCUACUCGUCAAGUCGGGAUAUUUAAAUAAUAUAUUUAUUAUUUAAAUAAUAUAUAUGUAUUAUAAUUAUAAAAUUACCAUUAUGGAUAUAAGUUUUACGGAAUUUACAUUCGAGUCGACUAGUCGAGUCAAAAAACUUGAUUAGACUCGACUUGAUAAGGCUUGACUAAAGAUCGAGUCUCGAGCUUAAAAUGAGUUCCUCGAGUCAAGAUUCGAGUAUCAAUUUUUUGUACUCGGUCGAGCUCGAGCCUAGGUAUAUAUGAGUCGAGUCGAUAUCGAGUAUAGCAAUACUCGAGCUUGACUUGACUCGAUCCAUCCUUACUUCUGCGCAUCAAGAAGAAGAAAAAAGAGGGAUACACAUCAGAAAAAAAAAAAACAAAAACAAAAACUUCUGUCAUAUGGAUGGAGACUGCAGUUAGGUUUCUGCUGUAGCAGUUUGGAGGGUCCGAUUGCAUUUCUUAUCACUCUGAAUUCAGUACUGGAUUGUAGCAUGGCAACUUUAAAAGGUUCAAGUUCAUUAGCGGAAGAAAAAAGGUUGUACAGUUUAAAUUACAAGACAUACGUUAAUUUAAUAUAUAUGGAACUCAUAAAAAAUAAGAAAAAUCAUUCAAAACAUUAUUUACAUUUUGCUAAAUUAAUUUUUUAUCGUUUGCUUUUAAAAUAUUAAUUUUACACCUCUUACAAAUUCAAAUCAGCAAACUUUAGUCUCAACUUAAAUUUUCAAACAUUUUUUAAAUUUAAAAUUACCACAUGACUUACAUGUGAUCAUUUUUAGGUAUAAAAAAAUCAGAUCUCACUUAUUUAUAGGCAAAAAAUGAAUUUAGAUCAUAUCUAAAUUCGAUCUAAAUUUGAACUAAAUUCAUUUAGGAAAAAAAUGAAUAUAGUUCGGACUAGAUUCUGCAUUUUCUUCGAGGUAAAAAGAAUAUAGAUCAAACCAUCCAUUUAACUAGAAAUGAUAUCUAAUCCUUUUGUUCCUAGAAAUGACAACGUGUGAGUUAAGUGGUAGAUUUAGAAUAAAAAAGUGAUUGAAAAUUUAUGGUGGGACCAAAUUUUGUUGAUUUAAAUAUAUGAGGAACAUAAAAUUAAUUUUUUAAAAGUGAAUAACAAAAAAUUCAUUUGAUUAAAUACGAGGGACGUUUUGAAUGAUUUUUUUAAAAAAAUGUAUAUAUAUUAAUUUAAAUUAUAUUCAAAUUAAUUUGUAUUUUGACUAGAUAAAUUUAUAUUUUCUUAAAAUACAUGAAAUCGUGGCCCAAACGCGAUUACACACACUGAUAAAUAUUUGUGCCCUAUGUUCUUUGGCUUUGGACUUUUGCCUUGGCACCCUACCAAAUUUGUCCUAGCCUUCUAGGCUUCACUCAUGGCUAAGGCCAUGCAAAAUAUGCAAUCCCCGCUCAAUAUAUUUAUGCCAAUAAUUCUAUUUUGUUUGGCUAUGAAAUUACUUGAAAAUUUUUAUUUGGAAUAAUACUAUAAUAGUUUUUUGUAAUAUAAUGUAUAUGAGAUAGAUAGAUAGUUGAAAAUUGUCUUCCAAAUACUAUAAUGUAUUUAUGCCAAUAAUUCUAUUUUGUUUGGCUAUGAAAUUACUUGAAAAUUUUUAUUUGGAAUAAUACUAUAAUAGUUUUUUGUAAUAUAAUGUAUAUGCAGGAUAAUAUUUGCAAAAUUCUCUUCCAAAUUAUAUUAUCCAAAUGAAAAAUGUACUAAGGUGUUUGGCAUACACAUGUAACAUAUGUAAAAGUGAAAUGGAAGAUUUAAAAGUUUUGGAUUAAAAUUUCUCUUCUCUUUUCCGCUUUUAAAAUCUCACAUCUCCUUUGCUAGAGGGAAAAAAAGAAGAAGAGGUUUUUUGGAUUUAAGAUUAAACUCGGGCCUGAGGCCAGCUGAGAGUUUGGAGAUAUCAUUACUUUGAAACUUGUCCUGUAGUUUGGUGUACUGAUGAAUGAGCACGGCAGGAACCAAGUCCUAAUAUUCAUGAUUGUUUUGUCAUUUGUGAUGGUGACUCGAACAAGCAUGAGACUAUGAUCCCAUUUCUCAUCUCAUUGAGAUGUGAGCUUUAUUUAUCGCAUCGCUUGAUUACAACACCGACAUUAUGAUUCUAUUCAUAUAAAUCUGCGGGGAACAAAAGAUAAGAGGGAAAAAUGCAGCAAGAGACAAGUACAAAAUUGUUCGUUCGAUGCACCAUAUCCAGUAGACAUCAAACAGCUGAGUAUAAUUUGACCGAAGAAAAGAAAAAUAGAGAGUAUCAGCUGACAUGUUAACCUUUGGGAAGAAGGUGCAGGCUGUGUUCCGAAUUGUUUGACUCUUUAGCCACUACGAAGGAUCAAACGUCUCAAACCACUCGACCAAAAUGCUGAGGUUCAUACAGAAGACGUCCACAUGCAUACAAUGAAAUGUGAUGCAUGGCACCUCAGGCGAUACCUGACAGCAGAAGAAUCAAGAAUGUUUAUCCCCUAGCAAUUCGAUAAAUAAACCUAGAUCCGGCCAACACUCAAGCAUGUUUAUCAUUUGCAAGCCUCAGACCUUAAAACCGUGAUCAGAAUACUGCUGUAGGUCAAGUGCUAGACUGCUAGUUUGAUAUCUUAAACGGCGUGAAGGCUUUGGCGUCUAUCAAGUGGCAGCCACCUUUAUUGUUGUACUAAUUUGACUUGAACUGGAACACCUGUUAAUUGUUAUAGGACAAGACGAGCGUCGACCUAAACUAAACACAAGACUUUGUGCAUUUUCGGAGAUAUUUUUGCCUAUAUAAAGGUUGGAACCGGGCCCUGGUAACGUAAAGAACCUAUAUGCCCGUACAAUCUGGUAGAAUGAAUGUGUACCAAGUUUCUGAUUGUUUUUUUUUUUUAAUCAAACAGCAGCAUCUAAAAUAACCUACUCCUGCUCGUAUUCUAGUUUAGACUAGGGGGGAGGUUGGAGGUCCAACUGACCUAGAGAAACCAAUGAGAAUUGAAUCCAGAAUGAUUUAUGAGAUAACACAUAUAAUGAUACAGUGACGUGGGAGAUAAGAUUUGAACCUUGACCUCGCUCUCCACCAAGACUUAAAUUCUUUGACCAUGACUAAGCAGGUCAAAAGGUCAUUGGUUUUUCUGAUUGUUAUGUUUGAAUGCCAAAUAAAUUUCACACACUCUCCAUUAUUUUAGCUUCAGAAGACCGAAAAAAAAAUGACUGAAUUCGUUGGCAGUUUUACGAAAGGUAUCUAGUAGUAUCAUGCUCUAAUUUUGAGAAUUAUAGACAUUAAUAAAACUACUCCCUCAAUUGUUAUUUGAAUUGCUUGAGAAUUUAAAAAAUCAUGAAAUUGCUUAAAAUUAAGGGGUGCAGAUACUUAAAAAAAUAAGGAUAAGCAAAACACAGAUAAGAAUAUAAUUGUAAAAAUUAAUGGCUAAGGGUGGUCUCUUAAGGUCACAAUAUUUGAAACAUUGCUAUUUUUCUUUAUGAAAUUCAAGGUACAUGAGACAUUUGGUGUAUUUUUGUUCAAAAAAAUAGAAAUGUUACAAACUCAAUGUGAUAAAUGCUGUAACUUUGAAAGUUGUACAUUACUCUUAACCACUAAAAUUUCUCAAAUUGAUCGUUAUUCUAUCUUGUUAUCUCUAUAUUUCAGCUAUUUCAUCCCCAGAUUAAAGACAUUUUUAGGAUCUUUAAAUCUCGAGUGCUUCAAAAUAACCAUUGAAAUGUCUAUAAUACUACCAAAGUCCUAUUGUCGUCUUAUACUUUUUCUGUAUUGAUUGCCAUUUUUUGUCAAAAACUAUUUUUGUUUAUUGAGUCUAUGAUGACAACUUAAAAAACACACACAAUCUCAAUUAUGACUUACUAAAAAACAAAAAAUCGUUCCACAUUUUCUUAUUCCACCCACUACACACCAUAGCCAUUAUUUUUUCCCUCCUUCCUUCUCCAUCUUCCUUCUCCUUUUUCUUUUCUUUCUUCCUCUUCCUUUCCCUUCCCUGCAACAACCCUCCCACUCCUUCUACCUGAUCCACUCAGGCCAUUGCGACCAAAUUGGUAUGGUAAUGGGUUGUGUAGAGGAGAAACCAUCUAUGGACACAUGUCAUGGCCAAAGUACCUUACUCAGGCAUUUCUCAAACGGAAGCAGAAGGACAAGCACCUUAGUUUAGGAUUCUUGGGAUAAGGCUAGAGUUUAGAUCCAAUGCAAUGUUUUGAAAAUCGGACCGAACCAGUCGGUUGAAUCGUGAACUGGCCAUGCCUUCAGUCCGAUUCAAUUAAAAACUCAAAGAAUUAAUUAAUCCGGUCAAGAACCGAUAAAAAUCGAGAGGUUCAACUGUGUUUUUUAAACAUUUAUUUUUUAAAAUAAAUAUUUUAUUUUAUUUUAUUCAUAAUUUUUAAUACUAAAAUAAAUAAAAUUUUAUUAAAUCCUUUAACCGAAAUCGACCAGUUGAACCAGGUCGAACCGGUUGAACCAUGAACCGGAAGGUUUUCUUUGGCUGAUUCUUUAGGUCGCAACUAGAUUAGGGGGGGGGGGAGAGUGUUUUGGGAGAAAGAAAGAGAGAAGGAGAGGAGGAAGGAAAAGAAGGGAAAAUAGGAAGGAGAACGAGAAGGGAAGGGGGAAAGAGACAGUAGAGGUGGGGUAGUGUUCAAUAUUAAAAAGUAUUUCAAAAAAAAUUUAAUCUAAAAAAUAUCUCAAAAUAUAUCCUUAAAAACACCUAGCCAUCUAUAGUAAACGCUUUUCACAUAUAUUGCUUUAGUAAAUUUUUUUAAAAAAUAUUUUCAAAAACACCUAAUUGAUACGGUCUAACUGAAAUUGAGGCAAGAGCUAGCAUGUGAAACUGUCAGAAAGUUUGAACUGCGAAACCAGUCGUCAAAGAGACUUAAACUCUGCAACCGAUAGCCCAAGUUUGUUUCAAUAUGUCAACAGCAAGCAAGCAUUAGGCGCAUUAGAAAAUUGAGAUGAGCCCGUCUCAUUUUAUCCCAGCAAUUGGAUGAACUUCAGGGCGAACAUCCUUUCUCAGUUGUCCAGGAUGUCUCUAGAUUCUGUUCAUGCCCAACCUGAAAGUGAAUGCCGCAGGCCUGCGUUUAAGCAAUGGACGUAGGCAUCCAACCCGGAAAAGUUGUAGUAACUGGGACCAAGGACAGUCCCGAAAUUAAUUUCUCAUGGGGAGAGUGGAAACUAGUAACUAUGUGAUAUAAUGGUCAUUUAUCUAUUAUAGUGCUCCUCAGUUGAUAUUUUCUAAAAACUUUUCAAUAGGUAAGUCAAGCGUCAUUUAUCUAUUAUAUGUUAGAUAGAACCAAAAUUGAUUUCAAAUUCAACAAACAAAUAAUAACGAAUGUUAAAUACAUUAUUUUAAAAUUUAAUUUAUUUUUAACUAUUUUGUAGUUCCAUGGCUACCAAAGAGAUGCUAGCAAGUCCUUUUUUUUCAAGAAGAAGAAGAAGAUGCUAGCAAGUCCUAACUCUCAAAAGCAUUUAGACCAUUACACACCUAUAUGAUUAGAUUUUUUUUGACAAAAUAAAAAAAAUAAAAGAUUAGUAAUUUGGCAUUUUUUAAGACAUGCAAAUCCAUCAUUCAGCAUGUUAGGGGCAAAAAGUCUAUUUGGCCCUCAAACUUCAACGAUUUUAUAAUUUUAAUCUUGCAAUUAUUAUUUAUAUAUUUUUAGUUCCGAACCUAUUAAAAGUGUAUACUUUUUAGACGUUUCGCGAAUUUGAAUUCUGAUCAAGUUUAUUGACCGCUGUAACCAUGCAUGCCGACCGAUCAACUACCAUUAAUUGAAGGAUCAUCGUCACUUGAUCAUUAUCAAAAUUUAAUCAAAUUACACCCUUUGAGGUAAUUUCUUGAACCUCAAUCAACACCUUUGGGGUAAAAGUAAAACCAGUUCGUCCUAUUUCUUUAACCAAUGUAUUCUUGGUGGUUACGUAUAUACAUUAUAUUUCUAUUUUUUUAAUGAAAAAAAGGAAAAGAAAAACUCCUGGUCAAUGUUUAGUCUGCUGAUUAUUAAAAAAAAAAAGAAGAAGAAAUGAAACCGCAAUUAAAUUCACCCGAGCAGGAAGCGGAGCUGGAAAUGAAAACUUGCUGCCGCUAUCCGCUAUAAAUAAUUCACAUUUCGCAUUUCAAACGAGUGGGAAUUUUUCAUAUCUAAAUCUGAAUAGAAAUUUUACCUAAAAUAAAUAAAGGAUAAAAAAGACAUAAACCCAAAAAAUUGAGAAAUCAGAAGAAAUGGCGAUGAAAAGCUCUGAUCUAAGAAGUAGAAUCGAGACGGAGAGUGAAUUGAUUCGGAUGUGCAUCGAGGCGGCGACGGAGAGCGGAGACGCCGUGGAGGCGUGGCGGAGACAGCGUCGAACUUUGGAGCGGAUGCCUUCUCUCCUCGCCGGAGCUCUUCUCCACCGCCUCCUACAUCGCCGUCUUCUUUUUCCUUCUUUGCUCGAGUAAGUCACUUAAUCCUAACUAUUGCUCCUCCUCUCUGCAGAUUAAUUAUUCAGAUGAUUUUGACGCUGAGAUUUGCUUGCUAAGGUUGUAGUAGUGAUAGUAUACUUGUUUUUUUUUUGUCUUUUUUUAAUUAGAGACGUCUAAUCGGAGGUACAGAAAUUUUGUGGAAGUUCUCUGCGGUUUCAUAAAUAUGUAUUAUGCAGAUCUUGUUUCGAUGUUUAGGCGCUUACUUUUGCAGCUUUAUUGUGCUGUGACUGUCAAUUUUUCAAAAACUAAGCUGAACUAUGAUGGAAUGUGACUUAAUUAUUCCGUUGGUAGGAUAAAACUAGUGAUAGUUUGAUUUUCUGAGUUCGUUGUGAUCCUAAAUCCUUCACCGCUUGGCACGCUAUGAUUCUUACGAUAUAUGAAAAAAGAAGGAUUCCUUUUCCCCUCAAUCUCUAAGACUGGGAUCAUACCUGUAGCUUUAUAUGAAACUUGAUUGCAAGGAGAGAGAAGUUUUGAGUGUUGGUGAAUUAUGUGGAAGCCUAAGAGUAUUCUUUUGUGCUUAAAUUUAUUAUUGUGUUGUCGAUAUGCGCAAACAUUAUCUACAUAAAAAAUUAGAAUGAAAAGGACAUAGAAGAAAAAUAUGAAUGAAGUAUGUUAUAAACAUUUUCUAACUGGAAAAACUUUUAUCAUCUUAAGAGUUGCUUGUACUGAUAUGUGCUGCUCUGUUGGUUUUCUUCUGCAUUAGGUUUUUUCUUCUUUUGCACAUGAAAAUUCAGGAAUUGUAUCUCAAACAAAUUUAGCAUCCAAUAACAAGCUGCUUUAAAUGGGAGUAUAUAUUGUUGCUAUUUGUGGUGAUUAACUAACUGGUAGCAUUGCAGAACUAAAGUUUAGUGUUAUUGUUACUUCUAAAUAUUACACUAAACUUGCAUUGACUUCUUUAGAGUCUUCAAACAUAACGUGGAGGAAAUUGACCUGAGGGGGGAGAAUUGUGUGGAUGCAGAAUGGAUGGCAUACUUGGGUGCCUUCAACUACUUGCAUUCAUUGAAUCUGUCAGAUUGUUAUAAAGUUAAUAGUGCUGCUCUGUGGUCUAUUACAGGUAUGCUGUCUUGAUAAUUUACCCAAUUUGAUGGACAAUUUUUUUUUACUGCCUCUCUCUCUCUCUAAUAUAGUAUUCGGCAUUUUAACAUUUUUCAUUUCCUUCAGGCAUGCCAAAUCUAAAGGAGCUUGACCUUUCAAGAUGUUCUAAGAUUACUGAUGCUGGCAUUAGGCAUCUUUCGUCCAUUCCAAGUUUGGAGAGGUUGUGCAUCUCAGAAACAGGCGUAACCGCUGAAGGAAUUAUGUUUCUCUUCUCAUUAACUAAUCUACGUGUUUUGGAUUUGGGAGGCUUGCCGGUCACUGACAUGGCUUUAAGUUCUCUACAGGUUGGAAUUUUGGUAGUUUAGAUGCUCUUGUGAACUUUCUGCUGCAUUAUACUUGAUUCAAGUCUCCUCCUGUCCUUUCCAUGCACAUACUGUUUUUGCCUUGUUGCAUUAGCAGUGAAAGACAACACUUGAAUGUGUCAAUUGGUAAUUGUUAACUUUUUCUCAAAGAAUUAAAUGUUUUUCAAAGAUUAUGCCACUCAAUAGGUUUUGAUAUAUAUAUUCUUGUAAGCAUGAUUAUCUUCUUUUUACGGUACUUUUAGUUCUACUGAGCAAGAUCUUUCCAUGCCUUGAGUUGGCAGUGUGCCAAAUAGACUAAAUAGUCCAUUGAGUAUCACUGAUACGAGAAUGUAUUUUUAGUCUCCUAAUAACUAAUAAUUCUUUAUGAUUUUAAUAGGAACUCAAGAAACUAAACUUUUUGGAUCUCUGGGGAAGCGAAAUAUCAAAUAGAGGUGCUGCUCUUCUCCAAGUGUUUCCCAAGUUAAGUUCUCUAAAUCUAGCUUGGACCAAAGUCACGAAGUUGCCAAUUCUGCCCUCUCUUGCACACCUAAACAUAAGCAAUUGCACUAUUACUUAUUUAUUCAAAGGAGAAGGUGAUAAAGCUCGUCUAGCAAAGCUCAUUGCAUCUGGUGCCACAUUUGCUGAUGUCUGUGGAGCACUUUCAAAUGUGGAAACCAGUCUCGUUUCUCAUUUGGAUCUAUCAAACGCUCAUAUCGACUCAUUCUACUUUUUGCCUCAUUUGAGUUCAAUAACAUAUUUGGACCUUAGUGGUAGUUCGAUGGCAGAUGAUUCAGUUGCAAAUAUUGCAUGCAUAGGUGCAAAAUUAAGAUAUUUGAACCUCAACAAUACAAAAGUGAGCUCUGCUGGAGUGGGAAUCUUGGCUGGGCAUGUUUCAAAUCUUGAAACUCUGCUCCUGUCUUUCACAUUUGUUGAUGACUCUGCUCUCCCUUACAUUGGCAUGAUGCCUUCACUAAAAGCUAUCAACCUCAGCAGUACAAGAAUUAAAGGUAUUACAUCCUAUUCUCCCUUUUCCAAGAAUUAAACGUAUUACAUCCUAUUCUCCCUUUUCCCUCGGAUUUUGAGCUUAGGUUUUUGACAGCAAUGUCAAAGAUCUAUUGUAGCAUUUGUCAACUUUUUACUCUUGAGGACAGUAUCCCAGAUAGUUCUCCAAGCACUCCUAUACAAUUUUAAUGAGAGUGAACUUCUGCAUUUUUGUAUCUACAUGUUACAACUUAUUCUAAUUUUUCAUGUCCAAUUUAGCAGACCAUUUCAGUUACCCGAGUCCCCUUGAAAAUCCUUAGGUUGUUUUAGUCCCAAUUUUCUAGUACUUUUAUCAAUUAUGAGUUUCAAAUGUUAGUGUUAAUUGCUUCCUCUUUGAUUCUCUACGUUAAUUUUGUAUUUCAUAUACACACUAAUGUCAGAUAUUUCCUCUGCAAUUUUAGGCUUGAUCAACCAUGAAGGUUCUGAUUCUGCUGCGGUCCUAUCAUUUUUAGCACUUAAGGAUCUUACCAACUUGGAAAGGUUAGAGUUGGGGGGUCCACAAAUCAAGGAUGCGGCACUCUUCCCUCUGUCAAGCUUCCAUAGCUUGAAGCAUUUAUCGCUGCAAAGUGGCAUCCUAACAGAUGAAUCAUUACUCCAUUUCUCUGCAAUGCAGAAUUUGGAACAUCUUAGUGUUCGUGAUGCUGUGCUAACUAGUGCUGGGCUUGAUUCUUUUAGUCCUCCCCCGGCGCUAAGAGUGCUGGAUCUCAGGGGUUGCUGGCUUUUAACUGAGGAUGCAAUCUUUCUAUUUGCUCGAAAGCACUCAAAACUUGAGGUGAGGCAUGAACAUGUUAGCAUGUCUUUAUCUGACACAGGUGGAAGUAGCUACCUAUAUCCAUCAGAGGCAACUUCAAAAACCUCUCAAUCGAAACAGCGGCAGAAAAUAUCCUUGUUACCGUCCAGAUUUGACAAUAGUGCUUUGAAGAGUUAUCCAUCCAAACAGCGGCAGAAAAUGACACAUGAUAGGAGUCGUCUUUUAGGUGAGUCAUUCUUUAAAAGAUCUCCUUAGAAAGCUUUUGUUGCCUUUCUCGUGUAUUCAUAUCUUUUUAGUUUGUUCAGAAACAGAUCAAAGGUUGAAGUACACGAGAGAGGAGUUACUGGCGUUGCAGUUUUCAUCAACUCUGUUUUAGGGAAGAUAAUCUGAUGACUGGUAUUUUAUGUAAUUACAGGUUAUGCAUUCAUGGAUUAAAAGAGUAAUUAAAUAAGUGGGUGUGACUUCUGUCUUGUUACUUUAUGAUUCUUUUUUCAGUUAAAAAUUUGUGUUCCCCCAGUAUUUAAUUCCCAGUAUCAGGUAACAUGAGAAAGGAUAAAAAAUUCAUGAUGGCAGCGUACAUUCUCGAUGGAAUCCUGUGACAAUUUUGCUCCCGAAGAAGGCAAAUAUUUUUGUAUUUUUGCAUUCCUCUCCACCUCGUUUCUUUAACGGUUUUGCUCCUGAAAAAGGCAACCUUUUUUACAACAUGCUCGUCUUGAAUAUUUUGACAAUAAUUUCCUCGUGUAUCAUGAAGAGAGUUAAAACUACUCUUGAUGUCUUCAGAACAAAAAGCUUAUUUCAAAUGUCGAUGGGCCUUUUGAUCCUCCAAGUCGAACCUAGUUUACAAUCCUUAUUAAACAGCUUGAGCUUGCUCUUUCGUAAAGUUUGUUACAGAACUUAAACUUGCACCUUGCAAUCGGGUGUAAUUGCGAUGACAUGAAAUAACAUUUGAGACCUAAAUCAGGCCAUAGCUGCUGGAAUCAGGAGGAUGGGGAACACGAGCGUAAAACUUUAUAAAUCAGCUUCGCAUCUAAUCUACUGUUCCCGUUCUGUGAAUAAGAAACUUCACAAUUCUCCAGGAAAAUAAAUAAAACAUUAGGAUUUAAAAUAAAUAUAGUUCACGUACAUUAUUAAUUCCUCAGUUCGGUACACUGUAAAUAUGUACAUCCCAAAGCCAAAACAGGUUAGACAGAGGGAGAAGAGUUGGAAGUUAUACCAAUAAACGGCAAACUGGAACGCGUAUUUCGUCGAAAGAGUGAAAGUAUAUGCUCUUGCUAUAAGCUCACUUGGCACUCUUGUACAUAUUGUCAAUUACAUUCUGCAGCAAUAAAACGAAUUUUAACAAAAACGUCAAAGCUUUUAUCUUGAAAAUAAAAGAUAAUCAGUGACGUACAGAGUCAUGCAUGUGAACAUGAAACCAACACUAUCCUAAAGGUGGGAGAAUUAUGUAAACGUGGAAUGUUCAUGGUAUUCUGUCAACCCUCUUAAUAAGAUUAGUAGACUACAAAUUGGACGUCUCUGUUUUAUUUUACUACCUCACAAUCUCUGCAACUUAUAUUUGAAAGCAAGAUAAUGAUCUAUAGCGAUUGCACGUCUAAAAUUACGGAUGUAACAUGCACGCAUGUGCGGAAGCACAUUUGGAACCAUGCCAGAAUAAUUAUAUUCAAGGAACUAUCAAUCCUUCGCAAUGUAAUUCUCUGUCAUUCAGCAGACAUCAAUUUCACGGGUUUCAGAUGUACACGACAUGCAGACGUAGAAGAGCAGAGACAUAACCGGAGUUGGAAACUUUAUAACCAAAGAUGGAAAGGAAACCUACCUGGUAGUAUUUGAGCAAUUGGGGUCUUUUCUUCUUAAAUGUUGGUGUGAGGAGGUCACGUUCCAUAUCAAAUGGUUCAGGAUCGAGGUGCACAGCUUUAAUAAAUUCAAAGCCUUUUAGCUGCCAAGCGUAUGACAGAUGUUUAGAGAAAGUUACAUGUAAUACCAAGCACUCUUUAACACUCAUGAGAAACAUCCAGACAAAUUAUACAGAAGUUAUUUAAAGAGAUUAUAUAACCAAUACUCAGAAAUCAGUAGAGGAUGAACCUUCUUUUCUUUUCCAAUCUUGUUGAGCUCUCCAAGAAUGUAUUCCUUCACUUUAGGGUUUUCACACAAAGAAUUGAAAUCUCCAGUUAAUUCGUUUUCUUGAGCCCACUCUUCAACUGCUUGCUUCUUUGGGUUAACAACAGCAACAAGAUAAGAUUCAAAGCUGUUUCCAUAGACCCAGAUCUGGAUUUUGGAUAGGAGAAAAAAAGAAUUAGAAAAAAUUUAAUGUUCCAAUCAAAUCAAGUACUUCUCCUAUUGGAAGGAAGAAAAAUUAGGUAAGAUAUCAGAUGGAUGUAGCAAAAGAGUUUGACAUACAGCUUGUACAAGGAGUUAUACCAUUGCAGAAAGUUAGCAUGUAGGUAGCACAAUAAGUUGUGAAAGAGCAUUGACUGACAUGAUUGCAUAGAAGUGAGAGACAGCUAAAGAUCACGGCAACUGAAGUGUACAGGAAGAAUAGAUGCAUAACUGUACCAUUAUAUGGUCAAACACCUACGAGUCUCAGUUAAAUAUGUGAUCGAAACUAUCAUGCUAUUCAAAAGUGUCUCUCUUGUAAACAUCCAUGAUCAGAACAUGCUACAGUUGCAUUAGUGUUUUUAACUAUUAAACGUCAAGAAUACUGCCAACAUACCGAGUCAAUAGCGCUAACAAGACCAUAAACAUUCUCCAAAUUCUCCACAGCUACAUACUCGCCCUGCGAGAGCUUGAAAAUAUUCUUUUUACGGUCAAUAAUCUUCAGGCUCCCAUUUGGCUGCCACUCACCAACAUCCCCUGAUAAAAUUAGGGCAGGAUCAUUGGAUCAGCAUAUACGUAUAGUCCUACAUGUAAUACAGUUAGUGAAAGCAUCACUUUAGACCAACCUGUAUGGAACCAUCCAUCUUCAAAGACUUCUUUUGUAAGAUCUUCACGUUUGUAGUAACCUGAAAACAAGGUAUCCCCCCUUACACAUACUUCUCCACGUGGAGUCCUUGAGAGGGCAUCAUAUCCCAUUUCAGGAACAGAUUCCAGGCAGACAUCCACGUUUGGAACAGGAGGACCCACUGUACCCAGCAUACGCAUCUCAUGUGGUAUAGAGACAAAGGUACCAGCACAUGUUUCAGUCAAACCUACACCCCAAACAAAGAAAAGUUUGUUUAUACUUUUUUUCUUUCAAAAUUGGAAAUGCCUAGUCCUCAACCUAAGCACAAAACAGAACCCAUACAGUGGACUUGUUUGAGGAACAUAAUAUAACGAGAUUGAAUGAGUAAUCCAGAUCAUUUCCAAACAAACAAUUAACUCUGGAAUACACAUUGCAGACUCAGGAUUUCUCAAAUUGCCAUCGUCUGAUGAUGGUUGAUAUGCUCCAGAAAAGACCAUAGCAGAUAAUAAGAGGCAUCACAAGCAGCAUAAAAUUUUAUUUAUGAGAGAUUAUAGUAACUCCUUGUGAUAUAUAGCUGCAGAUGAAAGUUCUGCAACUGAUAGGCAACAGCUUUAAUUAGUGAUGAUGAGAAUAUUAAAUGCAUAGUACAUUUUUCAAUUUUAAAAUUCUAGUGCAACAUAUACAUUCGAGGGGCAAAGGAGAAAACUUGAGUAGCAAAUAGGAAAGAGAAACAAAAGAGGCCUAACACAGUAUAUAAGCAAGAAGAUUUAACACCAGUGGACAAGAACUUUGCGUAAAUAAAGCAAAGACCAAUGGCAUUUGAGGGUGAAAGAAGAGAAUACCAUAUCCUUGAAGUACAUGAGCACAAGAUACCACUCUUAGAUAUUCUUCAACAUGUGAAGCAAGGGGAGCUGCUCCAGAUAAAAUAAGCCGUACUUUCCCACCUAAACCUUGUUUAACCUGAACGGUGAAGCAGAUCCAAAGUCAAAUUUCCAUUGCCAUGAUAAAAAACUAAAAAGAAUGGAAUAUCAGCAUCAAGUACAAGUCUCAACCUUGCUGAAAACGAUUUUGUCACAGAUAGGAGCUGCCUCAUCAUGCUUAAGCCCCUUCCUCAAAUUACGCAACUUGCUGCGGAAAAUUUUCAAGCGAAGGUAGUUAAGCGAGAUGUAAGUGUGCUUGUUUGUGCAAAGAAAUCUGCCUUGUAAGUAUAUCAUUCAAGCCAACAAUAAAGUAGAGGUAUUAAGGGAUUUCUAUGGGAAGCAAACUUCAAAUCACAGCUCACAAAAAUUUUGCUUCAACUGGCAAAUUCAGAAGACGUAUUAAGGGAUUUCCAGUUUUGAAGCAAAACUAGACAAGGGUGUCCAAAAGCACAAAUAUAUGUUGAGAAAAACUAAGUCUCCAAUUCACCAGAAAUGAUCAUUUUUUAAUGUUUCAUGACAUAAAACAAGAGGUGGGACAAAACUUACUAGGCAUAUGCAAAAUUAAACAUCGUUUGUUUUAUGAAACCUCCUGCCGAUAUCUUCUGUUGCAAGCCUGCAAAAAAUUCAACAAAUUUAUCGCUUGAAAGUUGAAUCAACCAAAAUGUUUGUGAUUGCUAAAAACAGUGGACGUGCAGAGGGGAACACCAACUCCAUAGAACACACUGAACUUGGCAUUGAGGUUAAUUAUGCCCCCUGGGGCAAAUUUCAAGACAUAAAUUCCUGUUAUGAACUCAUUCAACAAGAUUGUUGGACAAUAAAUUUAAUCUGUCUGUAAGUUCAGUAAAACAGCAAACUAGCUCUGAAAUAUUAUCCAAACUAGGCAAACAAACUCAAAAUAGAAAUCCGAACGUGGCAUAAAUUAAACUUUCAACAGUUGCGGUGUCUUGUUCUGGUCAUUUUUGGUUUGUGGAUACAAAAAUUUACCUGAGUGAAUUCUAUCUAGAACCCGAGGAACUGCACAAAAGAUGGUUGGCUUUAGCUCCCCAAUGUCUUCAACUAACAAUUUGACAUCCUGUAGCAACAAAAUCACCAUUGUACAUAAGAGCUUGCCCAAAUUUCUUCUCAAAAACAAAGAACAGUAAUCAUCUUACCCCACGCCAAAAUCCUAUUGAGGCUCCAUGAUUAAUAAAACAUUCUUCAAUCACACGGUCAAAGAUAUGUGCCAAAGGAAGAUAAGACAGAUAGACAUCAUUUACAGUCAACUGUAAAACAAAGAGAAAGUCAGAAACUGAAUAUGAUUCCAGAUCAAAUUAUGAUUACAACCUGUGGAAAUGGAGUUUUGUCUUCAAGCUUUGAAGGAGUAAAGAGAAAAUAUAACAGAUAUUCACCGAUUCGUUCACGCUAACUAGCAAACGCUUCACUCCAGCAAUGAGAGUGACAAUACUAUUAUUUGAAAUCAUGACACCCUUAGGAUCUCCAGUUGUUCCACUAGUAUACAUUAUUGUACAGAUGUCGCUUUUGCGUUUCAGUGGAAGGUCAUAGUUCUUAUUUUCACCCUGCAACAAUAAGGUCAAAACUAAGAUCACGACUUGGAAAUAUCAAUAUAUUGCGAAAGACUUCUAUAAAUAAACCAAGUAUAGAAAACGAAAGUACAUAGGCAGUCAAUGUUCUCAAACACACCAUAAGAAAAGCAUGCACCACUACAUUAGCGUUAAAACGCCGCCAGAUCACAUUCUGUAUCAAAGUUAUAAUCUUAAACAAACAAAAAUCAGGAAAGCAUGCACCAACAAUACAGAGUUAAGACACCACCAAUUACAUUUCUGCAUGAUACUGAUAGUCCAGUAACCACAAACUGACAUGACUGACUAAAUCAGCAGCGCCUCUUCAGAUAUUAGUAAAGCAACCAGAUAAAGCUCAGCAUUGAGUCACUUUGAAGGACUUGAGCUAAAGAGAACACAAAAAAUUGGAGCCAUUGCCUCGCAUAUGAACAAAAGCCAAUAAAACUUUUUGAUGCAAGGUUCAGAACAAAAAUUUAAUUGUGGCAAGAAUGGGUUAAUGGUCAAUAUUGCUUCUUGAUUGUGGCAAGAUUAGAAAUUCAAGAGAUUAUCUGUUCAAUAAUACCAGAAAUUUGCAUUAAACUUGUAGGUCAACCUUGUCAAACAUAACCAUAUGAGCCACACAAAUAUGAAUGCACAUAACAGCAAACCCAAUACCAUGGUAGAUAGAACAAAUAUCACGAGGAAAGAGACAAGCAAAUAAGUUAUCGGUUAUCCACUGAAAGAAACUCACUCUAGCUUCGAUACAACUAAUUCAUGUUUAUUGUGAUCAGGGGUAUUCGCUUUCACACAGCAAAUGCACAAGUCACAAAGCUUCAUCCUUAAAUUUAGAUUGCAUUAAAACAUUACACACCAAGUAUACCUUUUCAUAAGCAAACAAGGAGCUUGCCAGACAUCAAAUCUAUCCCAACAAAAGACAUCCUUGGGCAAGUCCCCAUGUAUAGAGGGCAGGCAAGGAUACGAAAAUAGAAAGAUAGCAAGUGCAAGCAGCCUGAAGGCAGGGCUGGUGCAACCAAGCAUCAAACAGACCAAACAGUCAGAUUAGGCUCAUCCAAACUCCAAAACAACAAACCAGACCACAAAAUUAUGAUCAUCUCACCACUGCAUACAAUGGCAUCCAACUAAAAGUUAUAAGUAUAAACAGGAAUCCACCAGCUUACCAAUAACAAAAAUUCAUCCCAAGCAUACACAACCACACCAAAUUUCUCGAUUUCGUCCUUCUGUUGAGAGGUAACUUUCCCAAAACUCACAAUUGCUGAAGAACAAUAACAAAGAAAAGGAAAUCAAGGAUCAAAAGAGUUACUUUCACAAUUUGGUAGGGACAGGUAGAGAAAUUACUAUACAAAUAACUUACUUUUUAAGUAUUUUGUUGCAUUUGGAAAGGUUUUGAGUAACUGCAAAAGGCAAAAAGACGUAGAUUAGACAGUAGAUAUUGGACUUUUAUCAUAUUGGCAGCAAUUUUACAUAAAUCAAUAAAAACUAUGGCAGCAGCAGGAAAGCAUUCAAAUGAAGAGUUCAAGCAUCGAAGAGAUGUUCAUGACAAUAAGGACAAAAUCAAAUGCAACUAAAUGUUGUUUUAUGAUGGUACAAUAAACAUAUGCUAUUAUCACAGUAAGCAUGAAGAAAAAUGCAACUCAAUAAAUGAAUGACUGAACAAUGUUGGUCAUUUCCAUAAACUUUUCCAUUUCUUCAAAUUCUGAAGUUGUUUAUUAACUUUGGAUAUAUUAUACGGCAUCAUGUUUUCACAUUGAGAAGCUGCAACAAGAUGCAACCGUCCAUUUCUUACAUCUUGACAUCUGAAAAUUCUGGCCCAGCCAAUUCUUCACUUGAAAGUCCUCAAGUGAAGAAAGUCAGUAUCAACUAUUCUAUCCAUACUCUUUAACCUAUAUUUCCUCCAACCACAGCUUAUCUUAAAACUCUUCCAUCUAAAUGAAACAUGAAUUGUUUUUACCGCAAGUUGAGGUUUCUCAAUGCACUACAGAAAUCAUGAACUUAUAAUCACUAUGAAAUAUGUUUUAAUUUCUUAAAAAAAAAUUUGUCCAUUAGGUACUUUAAUCUAGAGAGAAGCACUGACCUGGAGAUUAAGAACAACGUAAAUAUGCUACAUUACCAAGUCAACUAUCUUCAAAUAUGUCAAUAAAGUAGUUUUUUCUUUUUUUUUUAACUGAAUGAUCAACUUUUAACAAAAGCCUCAAACUCUUUCAUAAGUAACUACAACCAUAAGAUGGGAAGUGGCAGAAUUCUUUAAUUGAUUCCUAUCUCCUAUUGUUAAAUAAAGUUAAUUUCCCAUCUUCAAUAUUCAACAAAGAAAAUUUGAAAUUUGCAUGAAAUCAAUCAUCUUCUGAAUCUAGUUUAAGGAAUCCCACCCCAAAUUCUUUGCCAACACCCAAAAAGGAAGUGCAACAUUUACGAACCUCAGGAAUUUUUUUCUCUUCAACAAAGGCAAUGGUAACCUCAGCAUGACAUAUGAUAAACUCCACAGCCCCAGCACCUAACCAGAUGGAGGAGAAACCAAUCAAUUUAUUUAAUACUUUCAAACAUGAGAUAGCAUCAAUAAUCAUGCACUAAAGACCAAAAAAAAGGAAUAAACAAAAAAAAAAUCAUGUACUAAAGACACAGCACACAUGUAUGCGUAAUUAAGAAGACUACGAACAAAAGAGUAAGGAUACAUACCUAAGGUGUCGUACAAAGGAACGCAAUGUAGACCAUGAGCAUUACAUGCCUGCAUCAAUUUACUGAUGUCAGAAUAAAUUCAAUAGAUACUUCCAAACCAGCAACUGCUUCUUAAUUCAGAAGUUGACAAAACAUACACGACGCCACAGAAUUGAGAAAGAUAAUAUAUGCAUCAAAUAAAAUAGAAACACCCCAUUCAGCAGAUGUCGACUAUCUUGAAGGUAUGCUAUAAAACUUUUGAAAUAGUUCAGUUAUCUUUUUUUUUUUUUGGAUGAAACGAUAGAAAAAUAGUUCAGUUAUCAAUAUUGCUUAAAAUCAAUGAUGACAUAGCUAACAAUUGGCCUUGGUCCUCCAACAUCAUGGUUUGAUUCGGCUCCUGUUUUUGAAAAAUCUAACAUUUUCUGUUUUCUUUGCUUUCGAACAUAAAAGACACAACGAAACAAUUUAUGACCAUAAACUUAUGAAGAAAAAUCAGAAAGUCUGAAAAUUCAGCACGAAAAUAUUCUAGGUAACAACAUAAGGUAGUUUUAAAAAAGAUUAGAGACUGCUGAAUUACUAAACUAGAGCAAUUUUACGGAUUUCCUUUUCUCUUUCUUUUAUUUGCCAAAACCAGAGAAAUUUUAUGAAGAGCGGGAUGAGAUCGUCAAUCAGAUAGAUUUCAAGAGGAAUCUUUCCCUCCUAUUAUAUGGUAUCCAUUUUUUAUUUCUGUUUCUUUGAACUGCGCAUUAUGUUCCUACACAUAGGGAACUCUACCACUUAAUCUCCUUGUCUAGUCCCAUAAGUUGUUUCUCACAUACACUUGCAAAGUGCUUCUUCAUUUGCCUGGUAUUUUAUCACACCAUAUAUUAUGCCUUGCUCAAGUAAGUGAUGAGGAAGAAUGCAAAAUGAGAACAUAGAAUCAGGAUCAGGAGCAUCCAAAUAAAACUGAAGUUCAGAACAGUUAUUGAGUUUGUUUUCAAUGUAGCACUUCAAUGUGAAUAACUAGCUUUCAAUUUUCAUGGAAAUUCAUCAUGAUAGAAGAGCAACACGUAAAUGAGAUCCAAGCAUACUGUUAGAAUGAACCAAGGAAAUCAGUGUUGUAUUCAUUGAGGGAAUCAAUGACAUGAACUUUUUGUUGUUGACAAUCAUCUAGGGCAAACGAUUUAAGCAUGAAAUCUGACCAGAAAUAGAAGAUUUUGCACAUACGAUUUCUUAUAUCAAACUAGAUAGAAUCACCACGGUCCUCCAUAUAAAAUUGAACUUAAAAGCAUUCAUUCUAUUGUCAUCGAAAUAAAGAAAUACCAUGAAACAGGAGUAUAAUGUGUUUGAAAAAAGGGAUGACGUAUACCUCCAUGCUCAUGAUCCAUUCUGCGCAAUUGGCUCCAUAAAUACCACAUCUUCCUCCCUAGAUAGAAGGAAAUUAUGCAAGUGGUAAGAUAUCAAAUUUAUUCUAGAAAGUCUCACAGAAACUUCGUUCUAACUCCAUAAAAAACAAUAAAAAAAGUCUCAUGUACUUUUUCCAUGCAAACAGUUACAACGCAAAUGACUGAUAAGCCAUGGCCUCAAAAAACACAUCCCAAAUAAAAUCAUGAAGAUUUGAACAUGUUAUUUGAUUCCAGUAUUUAAAGUUUGCAGUUAGCAAUGUUUUCAUAUGCGUCUGUGGUUGCAAAUAAAUACUUAAUAAUGAGUCUAACACAGAGUUUAAGCUAAAAGAAAAAAUAAGGCAGCUCAACUUUUGACUGAGUCAACUCCGGAAAAGUUUACAGGAUUUCUCAAGCCAGAAAAGUACAGUGAAUAACAAGUGUACCCUCAGUGAAGCCAAAACAUGGAUAUAAGAUGCUUAAUAGUCCACCAAGUGACAUCCAUAAAAACUCAAAAAGGGCUUUUUAUCAUUUCUCCCAAAGUUGGAAUCUAGUCAACAAGGAACUGACCACAGCAAAAAGUAUAAUGAGUAGACUAUAGUAAACUGCUAAAUAUCCAUGAAGACUUACUUCCUCAAUGCCACAACUGCGGAUGGAAUUUCCCACCUUCACCACCAAGUCAUAUACUUCUUUAUAAGUCUGCCACACAUACUUACCUGGCUGCAGGGAAAGAAACAAAAACAAGUAUAGCCAAAAAUAAAAAGAUGAGAAAAAUGAAUUUCUGAGGUCACACAAGCAAAAUGCUUCAUUAUAAUUUACCUUUCCAUCCACUAUCUCUCGGCGACCAAGCAUGCGAUUAUUAGGAUAUUUCUCCACUGACAGGCUGCAACAUAAAAAACAAAUUGUACUAGAUGUCCUCACCAUGAUAGACACAUCAAAACUACAGUCUUUUCAUAAGCGCUGCAUCUUGAAACAACACUUACAUGCAUUUCAUGACAAAAUAAUAUGAUCCUAACAUGAAUACAGAAUAGAGUCAAUGCGACAUCAUGCCACAGUGUCUAACACCUCAUCACAAGUGACAUGGAGAACAAUGCAAAGCACAGGUAGCCUUUUCUGACUUCUAUUCUACACUAAUAAAACAAGAGACGCACAUCUUCCAUGGUCCAAAAGGUAAAUUAUUUGUUAGACCAUAGAUAACUUUUUGACAGAAACUCCUUCAACAGACUUUUCAGAUUAAUACAUUCAUGCUAUAGAGCUAAGCAUGCUUCCAGUGGCUUCAUCAUUUAUUUUGUGUGUUCUAGAUAGACUGCUUGCCAAUUAGAAACUACACACACACAUAUGCAUACAUAUAUACAGGUGUGUGUGUGUGUGGAGAAAUACAUACACACUACAUAUAGACAUACAUUUGUACUUUUUUCAGUCAUUACAUGAACUCAACACUGUUCCAAUUUCAGCAUAUUAUACAAUGCUCAAAUAGUUACUUAUGUGUAUAUUAGGUAAGCAGGUACAAUAUAAUAGACCUGUAAAGAAGGAUAGGGAGAAAACUUAGGGGCUUUAAUAGGUCAAACUCCGUCCUAAUUUUUUAUUUUUCUCCGCAAAAGAGUUGCAAUUUCUUUCCAAGCAAAGCACUAAAAGAUACGCUCCUUUGGAUUUGGAGACCAAAAAGGAAACAACAUCACAAACCGUGGAUAGAACAUAAGUAUACUCAUCCAAUUCCACACCUUAAAUCGAAGGCAGAAACAGUAGAAGACGAAGUCUAGCUGAAUUUAACCCUACAUAAGGACUUAUCGAAUCUACCAUAUUCAAAUUCCAAACAAGAAUUCACAAAUUAUACCGAUUAAAUAUAGAAAAAAGAGACAAAUCUCACCGGAAAAUAUCCCAACAACUGUCCAAUCCUUCAAUCGGCGGCGGAAAACCGUCCUUAGCAAACACACUACGGUAUACCGGUCCGAUCGACGGUUUUCCAUCCUUCGCUGGCUUCGCCGGCUCCACCUCUAUUAUGUAAUUCUUCCCUGACAUCUCCACCGACUAAAUUAUUAGUAUUUAUAUAAAUAGUGACGGAAAUAUAUCAAAUACCCUCCGCGCAACAGAAUUACGAGCGAGAUUGCGAGCAAAUAGGUAGCGAUGUAAGCGGAACUGAGCUUCUCUGUAUCGGAGGCAGAGGCUCGAAGUCUUCGGUGGUUUUAACUUCUGAGAUAACGUAUUUCGAUUUGACUUGGAGGAGGAGAAAAACAAAGAGGAAGAAGACGAGAAAUAAAUAAAUGGUGGAAUCGUAAACGAAUGGGGACAAGGACUGACGCCCCCCUGUCUGUGAGCUGUCAGUUUUGCCGAACCGGAGUUUGGUGGAAAUGGCUCAGCUGGCUUGGAUUUUCCAACUAUCGCUUUGAUCGGUCAAAGUACUUUUAACUAUCUCUUCUUUUUUCUUUUCUUUUUUUUUUUGUCUUUUUGAGGGUACUUUGGACUAUCUAUCGAGCAGCCCCCACGAAGUUUCUGGUUUUCCAAAUCUCCUCCAUUGAUUUGGAUUUCCAAAUUCAUUUUGUUUACUUUGUGGCAACUGAUCCAGGGGGAGCUUAAGGUCUAUCUCGAUUUAAUCCGCGCCGUCUAAUUAUUUUGAUUUAGGCAGCAGCUACCAUUAUUAAUUUUUGUUGAGAUAAGGUUAAUUAGGGUCUUGUUCUCUAUCGCUUUAAAUUUUGUAAAAUUUGAUUAUAAAAAACCAAUUACAGAGAAUAAUCAGAAAUAGUCAAAACUACUCUUUGGGUCUGAUUAAAAAAAUAUUAGAAUAAGCAAAAACUUCUCUUUUGGUGUGAUCCAAGAAGAAUAAUAAGAACAAGCAAAAGUUAAUUUGUGUGUGUAAUUAUAGAUUUUAGUUUUUUUAAUGAUUAAAAAUUUAUAAUCAAAAUAUAAAAGUAAGAUCACAAAAAUUGAUUAUUCAAAAUUAGAAUCUAUAGUCAGUAAAUUUAAUUUACUACAGUUCAAUUUCAAAGUCUUGCUCGACCCAUAAGGAAGCAUUAUUAUAACUAACACUCGAGAACGAACAAUUAUUAUAACCUGAAGCAUCGAAAGCAGCACUCAAAAACGAACGAGCAUUAUAACUCGCUGGCUGCUAAUAAUAUAAUAAUGUACUCUCACCGUUGAGUCAAGAGGAAAAAAAAAAUCUACCUAAGCGGGGACCAUUCCCACGAUCCGACAAUUUCAUAGCAAAUGCAGCAAUUUUACAAUUAUGUCGACCAUAACCCCCAUGCAUCGGGACAAACACGGAAGGAAAACACCUUUCAAUUUCCGUAUAUUUUGACCUGACGGAAAAAGGAUGAGGUACCAAAUCAUUCCCAUAAUUCGACAAUUUCGUAUCAAAUGCAGCGACGCUACCAUCUCGACCAUUUGUUGUGUCGCACAUUACCCUAUGAAUAUGUAGUGUCGCACACUCGACACUGCCAUCAAAUGCAGCGAUACUACCUAUGAAUAAUUUCCUCUCCAAACCAUAAAUAUCAUGUAGUAUGGUUGAAAAGUUCGAUUGUCUCAGCCUCAACAAAGCUUCGUUCCACCUGUCGCCAAUGUAGUAGCACUCAAGCGCACAAGCUUGAAUGCAAUUGCUACAAAAGCGGACUAAACUCGAUUGAGAAUUAGCACUAGACUUUUGAAGACAGCAACAAAACGUGCUGACUGGGAUUCUUUUAACUUUUGUAAAUGAGAUUAAACUAAUCCUUGAAAUAACCCUAAGUUAGAAUGCAACUGCUGAAUAUCUAUGAGCAUAGACGCAUAGUAGCAUGCUUUCCAUACUUGAGAUGCUUGAAGACACUUGCCAUCAAGAGUCGCUUCAUUAUCUUCUGGUACGAUACCGCGACAUCUCGACCCCUAUCGAUACGAUACCGUGACGAAAUGAUACCGAGAUACUUAACUCGCCGAAAAAUCGGUCGAGACGUCACCGCGACGGAUUGACUCGGCCGAGUCACUCCGAGUUAUCCCGAGUCAAGACGAGAAAUCGGUCGAGUUACACCGUGGCGGAUUGACUUGACCAUUUCUUUUGCUAUUUUUUAUUAUUUUUGUUUAGCAUACUUUUUUUUAUAUUAUUAACAAUUUUUAGAAUAUUAAAUACUUUAAAAAUUGCGUCUCACCGAGACCGCGAUCGAUAUGCUAAAACCGAUGUGGAGUGUUCCUGGCCGCGACCGUGACAGCAACCGCGACUUUGAACUAUGAGUCAAUUCUGCAACAAGAAUAUCAAAUGAGCCCCUUGGUCAUUCUGCUUCUUCUAACUUGCAACCAAACGGUUUGUAACUUCAGCAACAAAUACUGCUAGAUGAGGUCAGCUCGUGUGCCCUCUCUGUCGGGGAUAGAUUUAGGGAGUCGAUGAUUUUAUCAAUAUUUACGAGUUGUGCUCUCGGGCCAGUGCUCCCAGACUUGUGUUUUUGUUGCUCCCUUGGGAAUUGCAGCCGGGAGAAUCUGAGGGACGCGCUUGAGCGGAGCUUAGAACGGGAGGCGGAUCUUAAGGACGCCCCUAAGCUUGAAAAUGCCGCAUUCUUGAUGGCGACACAACAAUAUAUCCACCAGCAGGACAAGUUACAGAAGAAAGAUUUUUGGCAUACUACAGGCAAUGCACGACGAUGACAAAAGACUGGCAUUGCUACGUAGCAGUAGCAGUUUUGACUUUUGAUUGGUCAAAGUAUUAAAACAACUAACUCUCCAUCAAAGCCGCCCCACAAAAUUUCUGGUUUUCCAGAUCUCUGUUGACUUGGUUUUCCGUACUCAUUUUGGUGAUUUUAUGGCCGCUGACUUUGGGCAUCUUAGUCUCUUCCGGUCUAAUCUGGAUCUGUGUCGUCCAUUUUUUUUUUACUUCCCAAGUUACUAAUGAGUAGUUAGUUGACUAGUUCCACUUAGCCCAAUCCUUCGGGGUUGCUGACGAUUUUAAUGGCUUUUUGCUUUCUCUUUUGGAGAUAUGACAAAUUUUAAACGUGUUUUGUUGUCUAAAUUCAUGCAAUGGCACAUGCUUUCAAGUUAAUGUGCAGGAUAACAAGUACGAUAUCGGCAAAGUGAACCCGAGGUCUUCUUCCAGUGUCUAAUUGCAAUUUGCAAUUCUCUCUCCCCCUCUCCCCCUGCCAGGUUAAGAUGUUCAUCAAUAUAAUUGAGGUCAUGAAAUAAUUACUGCAUUAGCCACAUAGUCUAAUUGUUAGAAAAAAUUCUACCAUUCCUUUCCAUGUUUUCAGGGAAAUAUUUAUUUCUUUUACUUUUGAAUGUUUAUUUCAAUGUGGUGAAAACUGCCACUGCUACACAGUAAACUUUGCUAGGGCAAAGCAGCUUGCUGAACUGGCUUUGGAUAUUUCAACUUUUUUGAUUGGUCAAACUCUAUAAUUUUUUUUUUUUAGUAAUAUCAUGAGAUUUCAUUUAUCUCAACCCUAUAUUGACAAUACAUAAUGUGUAGAGCGGUGGCUAUGUUGCAAAAUUCCUUUUCAGGGUUUUAAUCAGUUUUCAAAUUCCUUAUUUAUAUUCCUUUUCAGGGAUAUGUAGUAUACUCUUUAGAACUCGGUGAACUUAAAAAAGUAUUGGCAUGAGAGUUUUGAUGUUUUUGGUUGUUUAUCUCAAGGAUUUUUUUCCCCCCCUCAAAUACGACCGGCAGUUUUUUCUUACAAGCUUUAGAAUCAUUUGCAUAAAUAUUGAUGAAUUAAUCAUGCUUGUGCCAUAGACGAGAUUUCACUACUAAUUAAGGAAUUACUUUGAAUUCUUACGUGUUCCAUUAUCGUUGAAAAUCGUAAACAAACUAUCCUCUGCAACCAAUAAACCAGAAUUGCCACAUCUUAAGCUAAAGCAUAAACCAAUGCCCAAGUGGCAGCAGGAGCAUAUGCAGAGUUCAACAGCUUUAAAUGUCACGAAUGAUAUGAAAAAAAAUGGAUAUCAAUCCCGUUCACAACUUAUCAGCUAACAGAUAUGGUAGCUCAUUCUUCAGUUCCAUUAUGGUUCAAAAUCGUUCUUCAUAUGAAACUUGGAACCAUGAACCCAGCAGACUAUCCACUGCAACCAAAAAACCAGAUGCGAUAGCAGAACAGAGGCGAAAGCAAAUUCAAUAGCUUCAAAUGUCAUGAAGAUAUGGAAAAAAAGAUUACAACGCCAACACCCAACCAACCACCACUCCCAAACUCCCCCGCCCCCAGGGCAAAAAAAAAAGAAGCCCAGGAUAUAUGGGUCAACAAAUAAUUUAAGUCAAAAUGCUGUAUUGCUGUUAUUACUCCAGCUCACAAGAGUGUUAUUUCUAAGAAUUACCAACUAGCAAUUCCAUAAACCAUUGCCAAAAUUCCUACAGGGUGUAUUGAACAGAAAACUGUCAACUCUUUGCAUUCCCACAAAAUCUAUUGUGACCAUACCCUCUAGAUAUGAAUAAUUUCUGCUAAUAUUACUAGCAUAAAGUACUAAAACCACGAAGUGGUAUGUCAAAGACACUCAACUAGUCAACUUUCAUGGGAAAUUUUGUACCAACACAUCACCUCUUCUUGCCCUUUUUUCUCCCUUUAACUUCUUUCUCCAAGCUCCUCAGCCUCUGGCUGAUGAUUGAUGAUGAGGGUACACGUUGUUGACUAGCAGGUUUUGAUGCUUCGGCACGUGAUGAUGGUGUUUGGCUUUGUUGAACUGCAUCAGCAGGAGCUGACAGCGUUUGCUUAUGUUGUGCUGCAGCUUGUGCUGCUGCAUAUUUCUUUACUGCCUCAAAGAAUGAGAAGGCAGGUUUUUGCUCACCUGGAGAAGGUGGUGUAACAGGUAUUAUAGGAAUACCUAAGGCCUUCUUCACCGCAGGAUUCUUGAUUACUGAAAAGGCAAGAGCAACCAAUAGACAAGUAAAGGAAAUAUUACAAAGUUACAAUAGACAAGGAGAUACUGAAAAGUCUAAACUUUGAGAAAUGGAAUAUUUGCAGCAUUCUACAAAAUGAAUGCCUAGCCUUGCACAAAUAAUAUAGAUUAAAUUUCCUUUAGCUGCCAUGUGGUUAAGGGCUCUAACCCAUGCUCCAAUUGUCACUAAUAUUUCCCCCUUUAACAACAUACUUAAGGUUAAACGGCACCACUUUGAUCCUCAAAACUUUAAAAGUCUGUCUAUACGACAAUUUUGGCAUGAGUUCAUGAUCUAUUAGUCUGUCGGCAGCAGAUUUAUAUUUCAGAUUCUGCAGAAUGCAGUAUUUCUGUAUGUCUCUAUACCUCUAUGCAUUUAUGAGCUUAAGUUAAGGUGAGCCUGGGUUUCAUUUUCCAGAUAAGGCAGAAGACAACGAGACUGCAGCAACAAAAUGUUAUUUACCCUUAGUAAAUAAACUCACCAAGUCCAUACAUGAGAGAAAAAAUAUUUGAGGUAAUCCAGUAACAGAAUAUUCCCUGCAGAAAUGCACAACAAACAAUGUUAUUUGCCAUAGGAUAAGAAAAUAAAACAGUGCAGAAAAAUAAUGUGCAACAGAGAAGAAACAGCAUACAGAAAAGGUGCUAAUUGAUAUUCAAAAAUACAACCAAUAACACCAUCUAAAUAUUAAAGUAAUAUAUAUGGUUCUCAACUGACCUCAGACCCUAGCCCCCAUAAUACAUCCUACGAAGCUGUAAUAAGCAACCUCCCUUCCCGCCCCAAAAGAGGGAGGGCAAAAAAAAGGUUGGAAGCUGAAAUUUUAAGGACUGUGUAACUCUUGCUUAAAUAUUUAGACAACAAACAAAAUAUUCAGAAUCAGGCUAAAACAAUCUAGUACCAAAUUUCUCCAUCUAAUCCUCAUAAAAAACUUUUACAUUUCACUAAUCCACUUUAAACUUCUUAAAUCACCGCUUUGAAAGGGACAACUGGUAAAGAACUCUUGCUUAUAUAACUACAAAAAUAAAAUAAAAUAAAAAAAGAAAGCCAAAGAAAAAGAAACAAAAGGAAAAAAUUCCAUCCGCUGGUGAACAAAGGCAGUUCAUUCAAACCGCAGCACAUACAAAUUAAAAUGCACAUAACUAGAAGUAGAAGGGGAUUUAAGGGCACUUGAAGGGAACAUGCAUCAAACAUCGAAAUGAUAUCCAUUGCAGUUGCUUAAGGAAUAGGUGUGAGAUUUAAGCUCAUCGAAUAGAAUCCAACAAACAGGAAACCCUUUAUCCCAGACCAAAUCAGGGGGUUUUACUAGUCUUACAUUCAUCCUGACAACUCACAACCCCCAUUCUUUCUAUGUCUUCCCAUCUUCCAUUUUGUUCCUUCAGUCCUCCCCCUCCCCAACCUCCUUGUCUGCUAACAACCCUCCUGCAUCCUCUGCCCCAGGCUCCCUCUCCGAUGCCCUGUUGUUCUCACUCCUUUCCAUUGCCUUGCUAUCAUCUUUGCCCAUUUUACCUCAUCUCCCAGAUGUCACUCUCCAUCCUCUCUGGCUGCCAACAACAGCUCUACCCUGUCGUCCCCAACUACAAGCUCCCAAUGCUUCCUCCGCUCUUCCUUUAAGGCCCAAUCAAGCAAUUUGCAGCAAAGAAUGGUAAAUUUUGUCAACAAACAGGUUAAAUGUUAGGUUUUCACUUGUCAAAACUUCCUGCUGUAGAUUAUCAUAUUGGUUGUGGCGGUCACAAAUGGUUAUCAGGAAUUGAUAAGUAGUGCCAGUAAAUGAUAGUGGGGAAGAAAAAAGGGAAAAGAAGGUUUGUUUUUAUUUAGAGAGAGAGAAUUAAUCCUAUAAGCCAUUUCUAAGCAUGUGUAACAAACAUUAGUCAUCAUUAUAUUACCAGUGACCCAUGCCUUAUUAUGGUAGUUUAUGUGAUUAGCAUUACAAUUCCAAUUUCUGAACAAGAACCAAGCAACCCGUUUAACAUAAGAAAACAUAAGGGGGUCACACCCUUAAUACACAUUUUCCUAACAAUAACAUCAGAGGGAAAAAGAAAAUAAGCAUAUGAAUUACUAACAUGGACCACAUGUACCUUGGCAAACCCUGCAGUGAAUGGAAUUGUCAGAGCUGCAAAGCCCCUUGAAACAUUUUUUAUGGUGCCAGCAGCAGGAUUCCCUUCCAUCCCUUCUUGCAUAUUGCACUGAGGAAGUAUGAAAAUCGUCCAUACGACUUUGGUAAUUUAGUUAAACUUGUUCAAAGCAUAUUAGGAAGAACAUAAUCCAAUUUUCUGAAUAGAUGACAGUGACCGGAACGAAUGCCAAUUAAGACGCCAAUGACAUGAAACGUAAACAAAUGGUCCCUCUUUAACUUCUCCAAGCAUACACAAGAUUAUGUUUAAGGUUGUUAUCGAGUUCUUUGCUAAGAAGCUUCAGAAAGUUUGAAAUAUGGCAGAUCUUUUAAAUGAAAUUUAGCAGAAAAAGGUAAUAGUGAUAAUAUAGCUCACCUCCACUGUAAUCCAGAACGUCAAUGCUGUUAAAACAGGAAAAAUGUACAUGCUAUCUGGAGUGGUCAAAUCAACAAACCAGAAUGCUCCACCCUCCUUAAAAGAUGGAACCUUUUCCACCAUGUUUGUAAUCUGCAUGUGCAUUGGUAGAACAUAAUGGUCAAAGAAAGAGCACGAUCAUACUAUGGAAUGUCAAGUUUGGAGUAGAAAGGAAUAUAUCUUACAGCAAGAAAGAAGCUGAUAAAAAUGGGCCCUUGAAAUAGAAGUCCCUUCAUAGGCGUAAAUGGUGUAACACCAUAUCUGUAACACCCAAACAUUGUUUGUGUAAACAAAAGGACUCUAUACCAAAAAGUAAAUCAUUUGCUUUAUAAAACAUAAGCAUGAUAAAAUAUGAGGGAUCAGAAAUUCCGACAAAAUUGAUGCAGAAUUAAAUCAUCUUUGCACCAGAAAUAGAAACUAAAUGAGCUAGGGAAGAGACAUAUUUGCCGAUGAAAAAAGACUGACUGGCACAUUAAGAUUUAAUAAGAACAGACAAGGGAGUCAAGUUAUGCUUCAAAGAUCUUGUCAAACCUUAUGCUAUUAUUGUUCGAUACAUAUUGGCCAUCAUUCAUAAAUAGAAUCAAAUUUUCAUCUUUUGGAAGUCAAGUUGAAGAUUAAAAAUGCAGAUAAAAAAUUAGAAAAACAGGUUUAGGUUCUUUUUUCUUUCUUGUCUUUGACUUCUGAAACAGCAGUUUCAUAUGACAGGAAACAGGAAAUUCAAACACUAGGAACUAAAUUGCAGAUGAGAUGACUUCAACAAGGAAAGGAAACUUACUCAUUAAAUAAUUGCUUCAUUCGCUGCUGACCUUCAGACACGGCAGUAGGACUCAUACCCUGAAAAAAUUAACAAGUAUUAAAUCGCCUUUGAGGCAACAAGGUUCUGUACUACCUCUAUUCAAGUAAUCUGAAUUCAAGUACAACCACAUGCAAAGGAAAUAUAUGGGGUUCUAUGGCCCAAUCUCAUCUACGACACAGAUCAAGUGAAGCAAGGAAAUAAAACUAUGGGGGUUCAAAGUACUUUGACACAGCCAUAGGUUCAAGACUAAGUGCCUGUUUGAUAACAUAAAAAGUGCUGAAACUGAAUUCAUUCAAACAUUCAGAUGUUGUGGGUGUUUGAUAAAUAAAACCUGCUGAACUUAUUAAGUGGUGCUGAAUUUGUAUGUAUUUUUUUCAGCACAAGAAUCGUAGCUGAAUGCUUAAUUUGAUAAGAAUCAAGAGAUUUACUUCAACUACUUUAUCUUAUCUACCAAAUAUAUCCCUGUUUGUUAAUUACAUUCAAAAUCCUUAUCUAAUUAAACAAUUUCAUAUUGCCUAUUCAAAAUCCUUAUCUAAUUAAACAAAACAACCUAAUAUUUUCUAUUCAAAAUUUUUUUUAACAAUAGUGUUUUUUUGCAGUAAUUUUCAUCCACAAAUAUUUAUAUUUUGAUAUAUAUAUAUAUUAUUUGUGCAGAUAAAUAUUAUUUAUGUGAUGCAGCUUAUCCACACACACGUGGCUUUAUGACACCAUAUCGAAAUAUUAGUUAUUGGUUGUCUGAUUUUCGAAAUGCUUCUCGUCCAAGAUCAAAAGAAGAACGCUUUAACCAAGCACAUGCAAGAUUGAGAAAUGUAAUUGAACGUGCUUUUGGAGUAUUACAAGCUCGUUUUCUCAUUCUCAAAACGAUGAAACCAUACCCUUUUCCCACCAAAAGAAACAUUGUCAUUGUAUGCAUUGCUCUUCACAAUCAUUGUCAUUUUCAUACCUAACAAUUUUAAGUUAAUUAAAUCAUAGGUUCUAUUUCCUUUUUGGAUUAAAAGAUAGAAGGGCAAAAUUGUACAAUUUAGCUUAUUAAACAUUAAGUUAUGAAUAUUUAUCAAACAAUAUAAAUAGAUUCAGCAUUAAGAUUCAGACAUUCAUAUAUCUCUUUUCAGUGCUUAAAAUUCAGCAAAUUAAUUAUUUCAGUAUUCAGAAUUCAGAAUUCAAAUUCAAUGUUAUCAAACGGAGCCUAAGAAUAUAGAUACUCCAGCAACUCAAGAGUUAGUAUUUGAGCUGAGUAUAGCAGAUUAGAAAAAAAGUUCAAUCACUUUACCCGACUUUCCAUCUCUUCCUUAAUCUCCUCCAGACGUGGCCUUAGAAGCUGCAGGAGAAAAGCAGAUCACUAAGAGGGAGCUAAUCUCAACAAAGAGGCAAACAACGUCAACAUUAAGAAAUCAUGCUACAAAGGAUUAAAAAAAUUUACUCAAAACUACUUAACUUGUUUUAUGCAUAGAUGAGCACAACAGAUGGUUGAUAUAGCAGUUUUGGAAGUUUAAAAAAUCAUCAGUACUAGACACAAAAUUGAGGAGCACAUAAUAAUGCAGAGAAAGCGUGAUGCAGAAGCUUCUAGGAAACAGACUGAAAGAUAUUCUGGUUCAUGGUUCACAAAUCCAAAAGCGGUUGAUAGGUGAUCAAGUGACUUGCAGGAAUAUUCUUCAGAACUAGCAUUUACACUUUUAGACAAACUGAGGUUUCUGUUAAUUUUAGAAAGUUUUGCUUCAUUGAUGCAAAGCCCUAGCUCGUUCAAAUCCAAUUCUAAACAGUUGACUGUUUCACUUAAGAAGUGAUCUUGAACCACCCAUCUACAGAAGAUUCAAGAACAGGUUUCAAGAAAAUGGCAAGGCGAAUUGAAUGCACGCAUACACUAGUUAUUGGUACGUCUAAGAUGUUUCUCAUUUACAAUCAUAAAAAUACAUCAAAAUGGAUUCAAGUGUCUUUAGUCAACUUUGUAUUUAAGAAGGUCAAAUUGGGUGAAACAAGGGACAACAAAAUACCAGGUCUGCUAUAUUGGACACCCCUUUAAUCUGAACACAGUAGAUUUUAAACUGCACAUUUCAAAUUCAAUUUGUGUCGAUCUAUUCUUUGCAUCAGAUAAUGAUAUCCUAAUCUCCAAAGUCAUAUCCAAAGUUGCGCCAGAUAUCACAUUUAUAGAAGAUAUGCCAGAACACCCAAAAGCAUUUCAGAAAACAUAAUGGUUAGCAAAUAAAUACCAAGACAAAAAGGCCCAACAACUUACAGUAAACUUUGAAGUUGCUUUCAGCUGAUUAAUCAUAAGUGGAACUGUAACCCAUCGAAUCAAUAUAGUUGUCACAACAAUUGAUGCCCACCUGAAAAUUUUCAGCAAGCAUCACCAAGUCAAAUAACUUCAUACACAAUAAAAUUUUAGGCAAUCACCUCUCGUAGCAAUGGCAGCAAAACUCAAGAAAUACACUGAAGGAUCAGAAUUUACAAUAUUAUGCAUCCCAAACAAUCUGCAUUUGUCAAUCCUAAUUAACUACUGUGAUUAAGAUUCUCAGUUUUCAUUUAAAAAAGAAAAAAAAACACAAAACCCAAAAAGUGUAAAGAAAUAACUAAUGUCAAAGAUCUUACACUUCAUAGAACCAAAUUAAGAGAAAUAUAACAUCUUUAAAAAAUUUUCAAAAUAUAGACAAAAGCUAGCCACAUUUCUUACGAGUAAGAGCAGGAAAGGUUCAGUCUUUGCCAGACAAGAAAAUGGUUAACUUAUGAACAUAAGCAAUCAAAUGCUGCAGAGCAGCUAGAAGGAACAACGAGUCAGCAGAACUCAUCUCAAGAAUUUAGAUCAUAAAGCAUUUUCAGCAAUCGAACCACAAAAUCUACUUUGCACAAAGGCGAGAAUAUUUUAGUCUUUACCAAUUAAAUCCAGUAAACGUAUGAACGUAAUCAAUCAAAUACUGCAAAGCAGCUACAGGAAGAAAUGAAUCCGCGGCGGCAACAGCCACCUCAUUCACCACCGGAGCCGCCUGCGUCACCACAGCCUCAACAGUAUGAUCAGUCAACACAUCCGCCACAUCAGUAAUAUAAUCAAUCUUCUCAGCCGCCGCUUCCCCAAUGCUAGUCGACAUAUUUCUACUGAAAUUCAACCCAUAAUUCAUCGCACCCAUAAACUGGCCACCCGACGAAAAUGAAUAUCUCCGGUCUUGAAGCAGACCCUUUGGGUUGGAGCCAUUAAAGUUGGCGAAUUGGGUUAUGGAAAAUCUUCUCGUGAGGAAAGAUGGAGAUUUUGGGAUUUCAGAAAUUGGUGCAGAGUUGGGUUUGGUAUCAUCGUCGUCGUUUUGGCGGUGAUUGAUGUGGGAAAGUGAAGGAGCGUAGCGUUGCUCUCGGUAAAGAUUCUUGGCUCGAGCUGUAAUACUGCGUCUAAACGCCAUUCUAUUUCCCCUCCUUUGGAUUGCAAAGAAAAAAUAAAAUCUUUCUACGAUUUGAAAAGUGAACGAUUGAAAUGCAUAGAAGAGAAGAUUUCAGAUUCCUGCGAAUUUGGAAUGCAAGAAAAAACUGAAUUAUCAACUCACAGCGUCAGAAGUGAAAAUGAAACUAGUACUUUCGAGCAAUGGUACAGAUGCUGAAACCUGCGAAAGGGUUUUGGGUUUUUGGGGUUUGGGAAGGAUGGAGGACGAUUUUUUCCUUUUCUUUUUUUUGUGACAAGAAAAGUCGUCAGUUUCAGUGAGCUGAUUGGAGCGGGAUGUCGCACGGGGCGGGACGCUAAAUGAACAAGUUAGUAAGAAAGCGCAGCAGUAACAUGAAAGAUGUCCCACGAUUUUGUUUAGUACAGAAGCAACCCAAUCUUAUUUUAUCUUAUUUUAUUAUUUUGGGUGUAACAUCAGGAAUUUUUUGGGCCCUUUGGAGUUUGGAGUCCUAAAACUAAAACCUGCUCUCGUUUUCUGUCUUUUGCUUUUAUAAAUCUAACGGCUUGGAAUAUUGGAAAAUAUUUUUCAAUAACAUAUUAUUCACAGAAGCAGCAUUUCAACCCAUGACUUUUUUACUUAUCCGCUCACUGCUUUUUUGCAUGUUUGUAAUUAGUUACUUUCUUUUUCCACCCAAAAUAACGAAAUAAAACUUUUGGCUUGCUGCUGUUUGUAUUCCAAAUUGCAAGGAGAAUAUCCAGAUCAUGCAUCAUUAUAUAUAUAUAUAUAUAUACUAGGAGGUUUUUGGCUAUGCUACGCACAGCCUAGACUCCCUAUAAUCUGUUGUCAUAUAUUUUUGUAUAAGAUAAGAUUAACAGUAAUGUUUGUGAAAUAUUAUUCUUAAAAUCAUAAAUUACCGAUCAAACAUGUGGCUAAUAAUAUAAGACUAAACAAAAUUAGAACACCAUCAACAUUGCAAAAGAUAAGAGAAGAUGACAAAAGAUUGGCAAAUAGUUUUACAAAUGGUUUGAUAUAUUCAAAUACAAGUUAGUCUUACAGAAACGGGAGAAAACAUGUUGAAUACUUAAUAUAAAGUAUGAUAAGCUACAAUUACAAAAUAUCAAAUAUUGAGAUCCAUUAAGUUGCACAAAAGAACAAUUUCUUAAUGGAUGUCAAUAUUGUGUCCAAAGAUGCAACAUUAGCAAUUCAGUUGUAAAGUGCUUCAAGAUUAGCAAGAUUAGCAAUUCAAAAAGGCUUCAAACAAGUUCAGAGUUCAUUAUCACGUUGCUUCUUCAAGGGACUUCCAGGCGCAAGAUUAAUUGGAGCGAAAGCUGAGAGUGCAUUGGUGGGCAGUAAGGCAGGUGUAAUAGCUUCAGCAGAAUUUGAUCCAAUUUCAGGAGGUACAGUUCAAAAAACCAAGGCUCUCUUUGCUGUGGUCACUGGAGGUGGCACUUUGUUUGCAGUAGCAGAAGUUUCAGCGAUGUUAUCAAGCAGUUUUUUGAUUGAUGGACUGAAAAAUUCAUUUUUGUUAGCAGAUUGCAGCACAGUAGCAUGAAGGUCUGGAAUUUUUUCAUUCGUUUCUGCAGUUGUGAUCGCCAUUGGAAUGUGAGCUGAUUCCUCAGUAGUGUAUGUCUUGACAAUAUUAUACUUGCCUUCCUUCUUGCCUUAAAAAAAUUCUUGAGAAGUUAAAAAUUCUUACUUAGCUCCUCUGCUAAUAUAUAUGAAUAGGUCUAUACAAUAUGCCGAUAUAUAUAUAUAUAUGAGCUAUUUGUCUGUUUUAAUAACAGUUGACUACUACUAACUUCAUCAAAUAGACCAUCUAUUGAAUUUGAGUGUUGGCUUGUCUUUCUUUUUUGCAUUCCAUAGCAUAGCACAGAGGUCUGACUAAUGAUUAACUAACACAAUAGCAACUAAAAGUGCAUACACAAUCAGUUUUAACCCGAGCCAAACAUAUCAUGUAUAGAUACCAAGAUAAUAACCAAGAAUUCAAGCACAUACAAUAAACGAAACUUACCAUCAGACUUUAGGGAGAAGACCAUAUUUUAUGUAUCAUGAUAGUUAUUAAUGUUAAUAAAAGCUAAAACUCUCGAACAGAAAACAUGCGGCCUCUAAUUUAAUCAGUAACAUAACAGUUUCAAAAAUCUAAAUACAUCAAAAAAAAGUGCAAAUCAAAAGCAUAAAGCUUAAAUUUGAUCUUGAGUUUUUUAGACAAACCACGUAGCAACGUAUGUAGACUUGCAAGAACAACGAACAAAUAGCCUACAACAGAGGCAACUUCAAUUUAAAAGAAAACUUUAGUUUUGCAAUUAAAAAAAAAAGAAGAAUAAAAUUCAAUGUAGAUAAAGGGGGAAAAGUUCAAAUUUUUAAAAAAUAUAUUAAUAAAUCAAUAUAAAUAAGCAAGUGAGAAAGGAUAAUUUAUUAUUUUUUACCGGGUGAAAGAUGAAAAAAAAAAAAAAGAUAGCAAAACAAUAAGUCAUACCAUGUGGGGAAAGUGAAACAACAAGAGUAAAACACCAAUUAUUUUUUUCCUUAUCCUUCUUAAACCAAAUAAAUGAUCACGAUUACUUGUGAAAAAGGCUUAAAAGAAGCAUCAAAUCUAUCAAUGAUCUCUAGGUUGAUCAAUGGUUUAAAAUUGAGAAGGUACAAUAAAUGUUAGAAAAAGAUGGUAUUUUCUCUAAAAACUUUUCAUACCCUAGACAAGUCUAGACUAAAUGAAACAACAAACAAGGCACACACUAAGUUGCCUAAUCAAUAGUCACUUAGAUGACUAAACAAGUUUUGCCAAUAACAGCCUUUCUGCAUUGACCUUAAAGUUCUCUGAAAAAUAGUUAAUCAUUCCUAUUUCUCAUUUAGAAUAACAACAGGUCACAUAUCUCAUCUGAGAUAUUAUAACUAUAAUUCAUUCUAAGAAAAACUAUCUUAGGUUCUAUAUAAUUUCUUAUUUUUAUGUGUUACCAAAUUGUCCAUUGUGAUUAAAGAGAAAAACACCAGUAGCAGGAGGUUGAAAUUAGUUAAAAAGGAACUUGUCAUGUAAUAAUAACUUGAGCAUAGCAGCCACAGCCCCAAAAUCAGCACAAGUAAAAGUUUGUCUCACAAAAUAUAUUGUGCUAAUGACUUUGGCUCACAAAAUCUGUUAUUGAUGUCCAUUACUACAAUUUUUUUUCUAGUGUAUAUAGCAAUUUGACUGUUUGAUAGUAUAUUGAUUAUAUACAAACCAGUUGGCUAGAAUCACAUCAGCAAAUGGAUCUCUCCUUUUUGUAGGUAUGCCACUCAUAAUAUAUUGGGAGCUGAAUUGGUAUCUUCACUUUUUACUUGUUUUUUUAGGUGAAUAAGUAACUGAAUAGGUUGCAAUAAGACAUAAAAGAAGAUUACCAAAAGGCUGCAGCAGCAAAAUUUCAAAUGUAUGGGUGAGCAACAUUUGGACGAGAUCACUGGACUCUUAAAAAUGUCAUCAACUACUGGAAUUUGGAGUGGAUGAUCAAGAAUGUUUACAUCAAGUUUCAAGGUUUUACCAAUUUUCUCCUUUAUUUAUUGUGCUUUAUUUACAAAAACAGUAUGACUGUCAAUAUUAACACAAUCCGUUGCUCAAAUAAAAAAUCAUUUGUUUCACAAAGGAUCACACAAAACAAAGAGCACUAGUAAACUUAAAAUAGAUGAAGCAGAAACUGAAGAAAAACUACUAAAAAGAAAAGGAAAAUGUGAAAUUUUAGUUAUGAAAAUAUAGUCACAGAAACAAAGAAAAGCUGCUCAUAGAUUCAAGAAAGACAACAAACUGACCUUCAAAUUUAAGGAUUCCUUAACUGAUGAUAUGAACCGCAGUAAAAGGAACCUAUCAAUUGUAGCAUAUGUGUAUAUUAAAAUUUGUUAAUCUGUCUAUUAUUCAUACGUGAAAAAUUUGACAAAAAAAAGGGAAAGAUUUUUUUCUCACCAAAGAGACUCCAAAGAAGAAGGUGUAAAGACCAGAAUGCUUCUUCUUGCAGUUCAUAAGGCACAGGAGCCAACGGAAUGCACUGAUUAAAUACCUCUAUUACACAUUUUUGAUUUCAUAAUUCACUGGAAAAACUGCAGCCUAAAUGAACAGGAAACCUAUUUCUCAUCAUAACUGUAAGGGAAAAAUCAUAUCUAAAAAGAUAUUUCUCAUCAUUAUCGUACGGUUGAUGAGAAUUGAAUAGAAAGCAUGAUUUGAGCGGAAAAUUGAAUGGCAAAGCUGAUGAGAAUAGAAUGCCAUACCUAAUUUAACAAAAAGUUUCGAAUUUACCUCCUUUGAAGUACAAUUAUCACAUGAGUGCCCAACAAUUCUUGCAACAUGAAAUCAAUAUAAAAAUAGUUAAUUUGAUAUCAGAGGAAAAGGAAAACACAGCAAGUGUAAGCAAGAGUAGUUCACCUACACGCAAUUUUCCUCCUUUGAAGUACAAACACCAUGUGAGUGACCAGCAAUCCCUACAACAUGAAAUGAAGUGUCUGCGGGAGUAGCAGUUGACCUACUGGUCACAAAUCUUCAUAAAAAAUCCAUCUCCCAAAUCAUGUAAAAAUUUAAACUUUUUGGUCAGAAUAGACGUUUCGAACUGGGUUUGGUAGAAUAGGCACUUGGAAUUGGAUUUGGUUAGAAAGUAAUUGGAACUGGGUUUGGUAGAAUAGGUGCUUGGAAUUGAAUUUUUGCUCAAAAUAGCCAUUCGGUAGAGAGAAAGGAAGAAAAAGCUUCAGCGACAACUUGAGAAAGAAACGGUUCAAUUGGAUUUGCUGAGAAAGGAAUUGGAAUUGGGUUUGGUACAAUAGGUGCUUGAACUUGGAUUUUGCUCAAAAUAGCCAUUCGGUAGAGAGAGGAAGAAAAAUCUUCAACGACAACUUGAGAGAAAUGGUUCAAUGGCAAAAGAAAGAAAAGGUUUCGAACACUUGCCAAAUAAUUAAGAGCCACGUGGCAAAAAAAAGAAUAGCCAUUCAGUAGAGAGAAAGCAAGAAAAAGCUUCAACAGCAACUUGAGAGAAACAGUUUAGUGGCAAAAGAAAGAAAAGGCUUGGGAUACUUGUCAAAUAAUUAAAAAGCCACAUGGCAAAAGGAAAAAAAAAACACUAAACCUUCCUUUUUUCUUAUAUACAAGGUAGAUAUAUACAUACUAGUAUGGUUCUGACCGUGCUACGUAGCGGCCCACCCACUGAUAUGAUCAACUAAAUUUGUAACAAUGAGGAUAAUUUGCUAAGGUUCAAGAGGUAAAUAAUAUUAGAGAUAAUGAUAUUAAAAAUUAUUUUUCUCCAUCCUAGGACACGAGUUCAAAAUUAUUUUUUUAUUUAACAUACAUCAUAUUAAAAAAAUAAUGAUUUUUAAAAAAAUUAUUUUAAAUAAUUUUCUAUCAAAACAUGCUUGCUUAGGGUCUAUUUGUAUCGAUGGAAAAUUUUUUCAAAAAAAUGUUUUCAUUUUUUUCUGAUGUUUGGUUGAAAAAGUGUCCAAAAAAUUUUUUUCUAGAAAAAAAGUUUUACCCUAUCCAAUGGAAACCAAACUUCUGCAAAAGAUUUCAGUGAAUCUAAAUCAACGGUAUUGUUGGUUACAUCAUCUUAUUCAAUUGUGCAUAGAAUCUUCUAUGAAUGCUUUAAAAAGUUUUUUUUUUACCAUUUUUUGACUCUCAAAUUGAUUGUGGUGUUUAACAUGGAUUGUCUAUAGUAGUAAUAGAGAGAUACUAACUGAUAAUUAUAUUAGAAAGCGAAUUUUCAAGAAAAUGAUUUUCAGCGAAAAGAUUUUCUUGGGGAAAUUAUUUUACAAGCAAACAGACGGACCCUCAAGUGGCACUACUUUACCACUGGGACGUUGUUGCGCCCCGCCCACCCGCACCCACAUUUUACCAUGCAAAGCCAUACACACAGUAGUGAGCUCUCUCUCGCACCUCUCAGUUGUCACCAAUACAACCUCUCAUCAAGGUGGAUCGACAUUUAUUUUUAAGUAGCAGAAAAUAGCACCAACCGAACUCAAAAAUGAAUACAACGGUGGUAAAAUGAAUGCACUUGCGACGGUAAGAUGUCAUCUUUGGCUUAAGUUUUCUUCCGCAAAUGAGAUGAAAAGAUAGCAAGUUCUCGGCAAAUACAAAAACUGCAAAUGCUCCCAGCACUUCUUUUGUUGCGUUUAACUCAGGUAGAUGGAAAAUUUUCAAACACUCCUAUAGCAAUAAAACAGUGGUGGAACACAAACGGCUACUAUAGUUCAAAACUUUCUUCUUUGAUAACCGAGUACACGACGCUACAUAUCGAUAUGGUUGGUCAAAUGUUGAUCAUCUACACAUAUGUUUUAAAUUUUAAAUAAUCACACUUCACUUCUAGAGCCAACAGGUCAAUGUUUAUCAACUCCCAUUUUGCUAGGAAAUACACAGCUAACCUUGCUAAUGCAUCUGUUGCGUUAUGCUGCUUGUAUUCCAUCCACUACAUUCUUGGGGAUUCGCAGAUAUUUGGACUCUUUCACCCAGUUUCAGCCUUCACAGUAGGGCACCUCUUAAAAGUCGGGCAACCCUUGAAAUUAAAAAACAGAAGAAAAAGUAAAGAUAAGUUAAUCCGAAGAAUUAUCAUCAUAAUUAUAUUCUUUUAUGCAUAACAUCAAACACAUAACAGUCUUUAAUUAACGGAAAACAAUAUAAACAGAAGGUAGGAACAUUAAAAAAAAUUGCAGUUCAAAAUAGGAAGAGAGAAUAUAGAAGCGUACCUAUGUUUUCUUUGCUCGGCUGAAUGCUGGCAAAACUCGGAAACAAAAGUAUAUAUAAGACUGGCAAUAGUAGGUUUUGGAAGUUGUACCAUAGAUGAUAAUUCGGUACAACAGUCAUCCCUAAAUCCCUAAAGUAAGCAGAUUUUGGGGGAAAAGAAAUUUCAGUGAGCUGAUUUCCAGGACAAAAGAAAACUUCAGAUGCAUGUGGAGGAUUUUUUCGGUGGCAAUCGAAAGAAAGUACAAUUAGUUGUUGGAGGAUUGGUAGAAAACUGAAGAUUUUGCAGGAUGAUAGAUUUUGGGGGAAAAGAAAUUUAGCUGAGCUGAAUUUUUGGGCAAAAGAAAACUUCACGUGCAUGUCGAGGAUUUUCUGGACUGCAAUAAAAAAGAAAAAUAAUUAGUUGUUUGAGGAAUUGGUAGAAAAAUGAAGAUUUUACAGGAAGGAUAAUUAGAAAGGAGAAGCGAGUUCUAGCUACCUAUUCGACGGAAAGAAAGGGAUAGGAACUUCAUUUCACUGACUAAUAAGACCAUUAGGUGGUGUUGACUAACUUACAUGACAGAGCAACCAGUUCUAACGGACAUGACACAACAAUAUUUUAAUUUCAAUCAAUAAUUCAAAAAUAACCCAUGUGAUCAAAGGAGUCCAUAAAUAGUCCACAACUAUUUGCAUUUGACCAGGAAAUUAUAAAAGAAAUAAUUUGAAAUGUACAAAAAUAGCCCUAAAUAGUUAGCAACUAUUUAAAGAACUAGUUUUCAUAAAAGGAUUCAAUUGACCUUUCUGACCAAUUAAAAACCAAACAAAAGGAACAAAUGAAAAUAAUUAAACCAUUGUUACCAAUUAGCCCCUAAAUAGUAAGGAACUAUUAAGCCUUUGAAUUUGGAUACCAAGGCUCAAAUAGACAUUUCCCUCUCUUUAAUGUCCAAAAUAAAGAAAUGAAAUUUAUUUCCUCAAAUGAGACCUUGACACUUGGCAUCAAUGGAAAACUUGAGUUGUUCUCUUAUCUAGUUGGUAGAUACAUAUAUAUAUUCGAUUUGCCCUUGUCCGUUUGCAUCAAUCCAUAUGCAUCUUAAAAGCCGUAAACCCAAUGUCCAAAACUUUUGAUUGCUUAAGCUGCUGUGAGUGAAAACCCACUUCGAACAUGGUUGGGCUUUGGAACAGAAGAAUACGACGGUUCUCAACCAUACACUUUAAAGCUAUAUUUUCAGAACCGGACCGGAUAGCGACUCGGCCGAUAUCAGGGGUCAAGGGUCAAUGGGUUCGACCUGGGGUCGAUAGGGGUCGAACCAGAUGACGUCAUAAAUAAAAAUUAUUUAAAAAUUAAAAUAUUAUAUAUAUAAUAUAUAAUAAUAUAUUGAUAUUAAUAAAGGUAUAUUCAUAUAUAUUUGAUGUUUCAAAUAUAUUCAACAAGAAAAUACAAAGAAAUUAGAACAGUCAAAUAGCAAUUUAUAUUAUUUAAUGAGUAUUAACAAGUUUAGAAUUAAAAUUAUGGAUUUAAUUAAAAAAUAAUACCAAAUUUUAAGAUAAUAUUUAUAAAGUAUAAAAUAUUUGAGAUAUAUUAAUAAUUUUUAAUAACCUAGGGAUCAAAAUAUAAUAUUAAAAAUAUUUUGACCUUCAAGAAAAAAAAGAAUCUACAUACAUGCAUGGAGAGAGGGCAACAAGAAGAUAUGGAUGUUGUAUGAACACGUGCGAGCGAGUUGUGGCCAGGAUGUAGCAGCACUGCUGUAGUAAUCAACUGUGCAUGCAUGUCCCAUUACAAAAAUGGUUGCGUUUUGGGAUUUUGGGCUGGGCACAUGGAGCCAAGGAGAUGCGGGUCCCUCUCUUUCCUUUCCUUGCGUGAGAUUUGAGAUGCAUGGUGGAACCCGGUUCUUAAUUUUCCCGGUCAAACCGGAUCAAACCCGGAUUUUGACCUGGUUUGACCGAACUUUUAAUUUCCCAAUUUUUAAAGUUAGCUCGGACCGGACAAUUGGCCGGUUCCCAAUUUGACCGGUCGGACCGGCCGGUCCGGUCCGAGUUUGAAAACAGAGCUUUAAAGUGGCCUCGUAAGAAGGUACAAGAAGCAAGAACUUGGUUCAAGGCACGGUGCCUUUAGGGAUUUUCAUGCCUGACUAGAUUGAGACUAAUUGAUAAAUUGGUCAUCGAUCGAGGAAAAUGUGGCUACUCAGCAAACAGAACGUAUGAGGUACGAAAAAAGAAGAACUCAAAACAGGGCCACUGAAGUGCCCAGUACAUCUCCAAUUUGAGCUGUAUUAGAGUAGUAUUUUGCAACCUUCUGCUCUCCCAUCUUAUUUUGCUUGCUUCCCCUAAAUGCGCCACCCAAAAUCUAGCUAGCAAAUGUCCCUUUAAUUGCUCUUUAUGCAAUCUCUUAAAGUGGAAAGUAUAUGGAAAAAUUGCACUCAGUAUUAUAUACAGUAAAAUCUACGUCUGAUUUGCUUUAUCAAAAAAAAGCCAGGAAGGUUACCCCCUCCACCCUGAUGAUGUAUAUCUACGCUGAAGAUGAUGCUGAAAAUGCUGAAGGCGUGGAUGAACAGGGAGUGGUCGAUGCGCUUUCUGGUGAAUUCCUGCACAAAGGGCACGUCCCAUUGAGCUUAAGCCAUUCAUCGACGCAGCUGGCGUGAAAGUAAUGGUUGCAUUCUGGUAUACUCCUCAAGGUUUCUUUAGGCUGGUACUCAGCCAAGCAUAUUGGACAAGUGCCAUCGCUAGGAUUAGGAAGCCGGCGACUUUCUCCGACCACCGUCUUCGGGUAAGAUUCAAUUGUCGGUGCAUCAAGGCCUGUUACCGUCACAGACGCCGGUGGCCGAAGACUCGUCCCAGCGGUGGAUAGCUCAGUGUUUAGACUGCGACGUUGGCCGAAGUCUCUGACUUUGUUGCAGGUGUAACAUGCGAGCCCCACGAGGCACACAAGCACCGGUAUGCCGACACCAAUGAUAAUGCCAUACAUGGCACCUCUUCGAAGGCCUAUAAUCAAGGGAGAAUUCCAAGAUAUUAACAUUUUACGCCAAGACUUGGGGUACAAAAUUCUACAGAUGCAAUCUCUAAAAGCUUACAUAUAACUGUAUCACCAGACAAUUCUUGAUGUAAUAUAUUAUCCUCAGAAAACAACUUUUUGUUGCUGUAUAGGCCAUUUUUGUAUUCUUCAAUUAUGCAAAUAAGCACCUAAUUUUGAUAAAUUUUGAAACUGCAAUCAAGUAGUACAACGUAAAUUAGUCAUUCUCACGGACAUCAACAGUUAGUCAAUUAAGAACGCUGCCUUUAAUCCCAUAAUAGAAUCACAAAAACGACAGCUAAAUCAACUGGCAACAGUUUGAAAGCGUAAACUCGGGUCCCAGUGGCCAGUUCUAAGAUUUUCUGCAAAUGGUCAUCCAUUGUCCAUUGACAGCAACUUCUUAUUUUUGGCGGGAUACUUCGACUACAAGUCCCUCAGUUUUGACGAGGUCAAAAUGUCGGUCUUACUCUUCAAAGUUCAGACCAACCAACUAAGGACAAUCAUCAUGAUCAAGUUUUGAGAGUCGCAUACUCAAAGUUCGUCCUCAUCAUCAGGUGAAGAAAUUCCAGGGGAGGGGACACGAGAGAAAGGCUGAAGGCGUGGUUCUCAAUUAAACUGCUUUUCGGAGUUCACGCUUUCUAUGGGGCACGCUCAUAAGGUUUUGUUCUAGUUAUGAGAUCCUCACGCUUUUUGGAGGCUCCAGAUGAGGGCUGACUUCUGGUAGUACAAACUACAAAGAAUCAUCACUUCAGCACCCAAAACAAAAAAAAAAAAAAAAAAAGGGAAAAAAAAUACAAAGAAUCAUGGCUUAGGGGGCAGAGGAAAAAGGCCUGGUAUUCUACAGCCUGAAAACUCAUGGCUAAUUGGAUUGGAACCAAAAGAGAUCCUACCAUGUACCAAGUAAAGAGGAGUAAUGACUCAAAAAUGAGAAAACAGAAAGAAAGACAAAAGUUAAGAACGAGUAACCACCAAUUGAUCACUAAAAUUUAUGGUAAUCUCAUCUUUCGUUAGUCUUUUGCAUCCACCUUUCUUUAUUAGAUAUAUAUAUAUAUAUAUAUAUAUAUAUAUAUAUAUAUAUACAUGAAUUAAGCUACACGGUAUAAAUUUGUAAAAGUAAAACCAUCAGAUUAUCAGUCUUCUUUAUCCCUGUUAUGUACCUCUCCGAGAAACGCUAGUGAAGAAGUACAAUUACCAACAACAGAAAAUCGUAUCCUAAUUGCAAUCAUUCAUCUAUUUACCUGAUCUCUUCUUGGAGCAGACCAUUACUAUUAAAUGCUGGCGCAUAGAACUAGACUUACAGAAAAUUACAUUCACCACAUUGUACGUUGAUGGUGAUCGCUCCUGCAUAAUCAGUGCAUAUGAAUCAGCAGGUCCCAUUCAACCAUUGUUUUCUAUACAGCACAGCAGUUGAAUGUACUACUCAGGGUUGUUAAGUGACGCCACCUGUGUCACCUAAUUCUCGAUUAUUUUCCCUUUUUUCAAUAAAAUAUACACAUUGUAAGAAUAUGUGUGUGUGUGGAUAUUGACUAUGGAACGUCCCAAAAUAUCCACACACUGCGAAACCCAGAGUGCUGCCGGAUCACCUCUACCAGGCCCGUUUUCAUCUCUUGGUACUGUCUCAUAGGAAUAGGUAUCUCAUGACCGUCUGUCUACAGCUUUGUCAUCUUGAAUCCUAAACUUAAUCAACAACUUCUGAUCAAGAAUCUAGCUCUCUGUCUCAAAUUUCAGAGUCUAUGCACAAUAACUCAAAUCAAAUUUUCAACUUCCAGUGAGGCUAUCACAUAUGAGGGUAACAUUUUUCCUUAUAAUUGAAGUAAUUCUGUUAGGUGCUCUGCAUCUAUCCAACUUCUUUCCCUUUUUGUUUUGCUUCUCUCAACUUGGUUUUUAUUAGGUGAAACUACGGGAACAUUAAACCUUCCAGUGAUCGACUCAUUAAACCAAUCUAAUUCGGUACUUCGCAUUUUUCCAGAGAAGUAAAAGACAGUUUUUGGAUGCUGUCAGAAGUUGGAUUGAAAUUUGAAAUUAUAUCAUAUAAAAGUGCAGCUCAACAGGAAGCAAUUUAAAUUCUAAUCCGAUGGUAAUUCUCAUGGGAACCAAACGACGGCGUAAAAAUAAUUACCUUUUCUAGGAAGACGGCCGCAACCAAUUUCCAACCCGGAAUUGCUCUUGAACCCACAAUACAGACCCCGUUUUUCGCAGCUUCGGCAUCCUGCAGGCUGGUCCCAUACCAACUCAAGAUCUUCUUCAACAAUUGUCUCCGACCAAAACUCCGCGUAUGAUAAGCGAAGGGCAAUCGAAGCAUUUCGUAUUAAGCGACACGAGGGUGGGAUUUCGGACGAAUAACGACUAGGAGUAGCCAUGAUCGUGGAAUUAUAAUCACCAUAACAAAACAGCGGCAUAAGAUUAUCCAUCGUCCUGUAUGCUGACAAUUCUAAGGAACAGUUGAAAUACGUGUAGCUGUAUGGAGCUGCUCUAAAUGAAGAAUCUACAGCACUGAAGUUUGAAACUCUUCUGGGAAGGCAGUCGCCCGGAUCAUUGAUAUAUAUGGUUUGUUCAGAGUAAUUAAUCCGGUUGACUCUGAAUUCGCCGGAGCGGGGAAGGCUGAGGAUUGUUUGGCUAUGAUUAUUGCAAGAAAGAUCAAAACCUGGGUAGCCACAGCUUUGGUCCUGUAUCCCUUUUAGCCGAAAAGGGAACCUGACUUGAGGUCCCAAUCCCAUUUCACUGCACGAAGCAGGCUUGCAUAUUCUAACAGACAGGGAUAGAUGUGGUAGGAAGAAGAAAAUCAAUAAGCAGAAGGAAGAGGAGGAGGAGGAGAAGGAGGAGAGACCCACUCCUGAGCCUGAGGAGCCCAUUUGGAAAAUUGCAUAAAAAGGAAAAAAAGAAAUAUACUUCUAGUAAAACUCAUGCUACCUCUUCGGUUUCCAUCUUAACAGGCCUAAAAACGAUGAAAGUUUUGUGGAAUAACGAAAUGAAGACACUUCUAAAAUCUGAAUAUUUUACCAACGAAAACAAAGAAGUCUAUUCAGUGGAUUGUCCUAUACUAUAAUACAAUUGCAAAGGCUGACCGGGUGACUGCUCUAUCAAAAGGACUUUGUGUCAAGUGUCUAAUGGCCGACGCCUCAGAGAUCAGGACAAGAAUUAAGGUGGAAGUAUAAUGUUUACCUGCGCAGCCAUAUGUUGCAACUUUUGACUUUCUGCAGCUAACCAAGAAAAAAAAAAAAUUGCUAGUAAUAGCAGGGAGAUGUUAUGUAGCCUUCCUCAUGCUUCAUUGCAUGCUGUGGAAGCUGGUGUAUAAAGAUAUACUGGUUGAGAGUUGAGACCUGGGACCAACCAAUUGUCAAAAUUGCAAGUAACGUUAAAGUGGGGACUUAAAUGUGUUGAAAUCCAAACUCUCGUGCCCAAAUUGAAAUAGAAAGGCGUUUAGUUAAACAAUCGGCCAACUAAUGCUUGACAGAGUCGCCUAUAGUAUAGGGAACUAAAUCGUAAUGUCGUGUUGAUUUAAAAUGAGCGGCAAUUUCUGUGCCAUGAAAUAUAAAAUCCUUUCCCAGCCUCAAUUGAGACUCUUUCAAUUCUUUAAGAAAGCUCGUUUGGUUGCCUUCGCACUUGAGAGAAUAAUACUCUCUCUGCCGCCUCCACGUUGAGAGAAUAUCAGAAUAAUCCAGGAGUUGCUGGGGCCUUUUCUUGGCGAGGGGGUUCCAUAAACGUGGUAGGUCAGGAACGGAGCACAUCUUUUGUUGGGACAUGAAACUCAACGGAGCACCGUUGCCAAAAUUGAUUCAUUCAGACCAAUAAUAUACAUAGUUCAUACUAAGGGAAGAAAUAAGUUGAAUGGUUCGAAAUAGGGAGUGUAAAUAUGAGAUUUCAAGUUUAAAUCCUUUAACUUACAUUUAAAAAAAUUUAAAUAAAAAUAGUCUCCACUAAAUAGUUCGCCUAAUCAGCUGCAUUUAUGAGCAAGAAUGGCUCUUUGAAUCACCCUCAUUCACUAAUCUCUCUCUCUAAGUUGUGUUUUGGAGAUUUAUCAUACACUGUGAAUUAUUAUUUUACCUUUUUUUAAUUAAUGAGGUAAAUUUUAUGCUACAUGUACUCUUACGCUAGUAUUUUGACCCGUGCUAUGCAUGGGUUAUAUUUCAAAUCAAAAUAAUAUUAUAUAUAUUUAUAUAUUUUGGUACAAAAUAAUAAAUAUAUAUAUAUACACUAAAAAUUUUAAAGAAGUGUAUGCUUAAUAUUUUGAAAAAAAAAUAAUCUAAAAUGAUUUACAUGAUAAAAGAAUUGUUAAUGCAUUUAAGGAGAGGUUUAGGUUGAGUGGUAAGGUGAGAAGAGUUUUUUUUUUUUUUUAAAUCAAUUUAUCAAUAUCCGACAAAACAUAUUAUGUUACACCUAUUUAUCAAAAUUUAUAAUAUAAAAAAUAAAUUAUAGCCAAUUUAUUUUCUUCCAUUUUUAGAAAAAAAAAUCUUUAUUCUAUCUUAUGCCCCUAAAAUUGUUGAUUGCAUUUAGAUUAGCAUUUUUCAUAAACUUUGAUGUAUAUUUAAAAAAAAAUCUCUGUAAUAUGUAUUUUUAGAGUUCUCAAAAUUAUUAAAAAUCACCAUCAUUUCCCUCUUCUCUUAUCUGCCAGCUAGUCAUCAGAUGUCUCAUACGACUUUCAUAUCUUCUAUCAUAGUACCACUCUCUCUAUUAUUAUUUUUUUGUCAUCUCUGUCAUAUCCCUGCAAUCUCCUUUCUUCUUCUCUCUCUUCUCCACCCAUCCUUGUAACCUAUGGCCCUGUUUGGCACCCUAGUUUUUUACCAAGUUUUUUAGCUACUAGUUUUUUAACAACUUUUGCUACAGGAACCCCAAAAAUUUUUUUAAAGUUUUUUACUUACACACUUCAAAAAUCUAUACACAAAAAAUUUCUCAAAAACUUUUCUUCCUCCCUCACCCAACCCAACCCACCACACCAGACACCGCCUCCACCACCUCUCCCGGCACCAAUCACCUAUUCCGGCCAAUGUUUUAAAAACCGGACCGUUAAUCGAACCGGUGAAGUGAAAGGGUCGAGAUUCAACCGGUCGGACCGGUUCAACCUCGGUUCAAGGAAUUUUUUAAAAAAUAAUUUAUAUAAAUAUAUAUGUGCACAAAAUAAGACAUGUAAUGGAUAAUUUAAUACUUUAUAUGAUGAAAAGUUUACUAUUUUUGAAUAACUUGGAUUUUUAAAAAUAAAAUUUUUAAAUUAUAAGUUAAAACAAAUAAAUUUCAUCUCAAUUUCAAUUAUAUCUACCAAAAAAAUCUUAAAUAUAAUCCUAAAAUAUCACAAUAUUUGAAAUUAUACAAAAUUCACGUCUAUGAGAAUUUAGACAUUGUGAAUUUAAAUUUUAAUUUACAUUUUGGAAUUUAAAUUUAUAAUUUAAAAAAGGAAGUUUGGAGUUCGAAGAAAAUCAACAGAAUUAAAAAUGGAAAUGCAAAUUUGAUAAGAAACAAAAGAUGAGAUAAAAGUGAGUGGUUGUGGUAUUAAAUAAAUUGGGUUAAAGAAAAAUAAUUCUUUUUUAACUUUUUUAAAUUUAAUGGACAAAAAAAAAUUAAAAUAUGGAAGAAAACAUCAAUAAAUUAAAAAUAAAGAGAUUUGAUUAAAAAAUGAGUGGCAAAAGAAAAGAUGAUAGAGAGAGUGUGUGUGUGUGUGUGUGUGUGUGUUGAAGAUUAAAAAGAAAGAGUCAUGAAAGGAUAAUAUUUUGUAAAAAAAAUGGAACAAAAGAAAUAUGAGUGUUUGUUUUAUAUAAAUAAGUUAUCAAAAAAAACUAAUAAGAUGUGAUAGUGCAACGGUUACUACAUUGGUCUUCUAUUACAAAGGUCUUGAGUUCGAAUCUUAAUAACUAUAUUUUGCAAAAAAAAAAAAAAAAGGGAAACUCAAAAACCGGAAAUAACCGGUUCAGCGGUUUUGCGGUCCGACCGGUUUUUGACCGGUUUCUUGACAAAGUCAAACCUGGCAGUGAACCGGACCGGAGCCAUGGCCGGUUCGCGGUUGAACCGGUCGAACCGGCCGGUCCGGUCCGGUUUUUAAAACACUGAUUCCGGCGCCGCCGGUAACCUCAAAAUUUUUUUUUGAAUUUUUUAGUCCCUCACCCUCAAAAAUUUAUUAUAUAUAUUAUAUAUUUAUAAUAUUAUAUAUUUAUUUAAACAUAUUAUAAAUAUUUUAUUUUAUUUAAAAUAUAUUUUUAUAUAUUUAUAUAAAUAUUAUAAGCCAUAUAAAUUAAUAUUAAUAUAAAUAUGUAAUUAUAAAUUUAUAUAAAUAUUACAUAUUAUAUAUUUAAUAUAUAUAAUACAUAUUAUAUAUAUUACACAUUUAUGUAUAUAUAUUUAUGUAUAUUUAUAUACAAUUAUAUUAUGUAUUAUGUAUAACAUAUUACAUUUAUACAUAAUACUAAUACAUUUAUACAUUUAUAUUAAUUAUAUUAAUACAUUUAUACAUAAUAUUAUAUAUUUAUAUAUUUAUAAUAUAUUAAUUUAUAUAUUUAUAUAAUAUUCAUUUAUAAUAAUAUACAAUUAUUACAUUUGUAAAUAUAUUUAUAUUAUGUAUUAUAUAUAAUAUAAUUCAUUUAUAUAUUUUUAUAUAACUAUAUAAAUAUAUUUAUUUAUAAAUGUAUUAUAAAUGCAUAAAUAUAUAUAUAAAUAUUUAAACAAUAAAAAUUAUAAAUUAUAAACAAUAUUAAUUAUACAUUUAUACAUAAUAUUAAUACAUUUAUACAUUUAUAUUAAUUAUAUUAGUACAUUUAUACAUAAUCAUCAUAUACAUUUAUAAAUUAUAAUUUAUACAUUUAUAUAAUAUUCAUUUAUAAUUUAUAUAUUUAUAUUAAUUAUACAUUUUUACAUUUAUAAAUAUAUGUAUAUUACGUAUCAUAUAUAAUAUAAUACAUUUAUAUAUUUUUAUAUAAAUAUAUAAAUAUAUUUAUUUCUAAAUAUUUAUAAAUGUAUUAUAAAUGCAUAAAUGUUUAAAAAUAUAUAAAUUAUAAAUUACAAAAUACUCAAAAAUAUGUUUUAAAAAUACCUCUAAAAAUAAUCCAAAAAACGUCUACAGUAACAUUUCAAAAACUUCUACAAAAAAAUUUUUCACCUUACAAAAACUUCUACAAAAUUUUUUCAAAAACUUCUACAGUGCACUACAGUAAAAUUUUAGACAAACUCCCAAAAAACUCAGGCUCCGUUUGGAUUAGCUGUUUUUGGGGUUGUUUUUCAAAAACAGCACCGUAACAUUUCGUUUUUGAAAUACAAGUCCGUUUGGAUUAGUUGUUUUUCAAAAACUAUAUGAAAAACUUUUACUGUAAAUGUUUUUCGGAUUAGUUUUAGAGUUAUUUUUAAAACAUAUUUUUGGGUAAUUUUAUAAUUUAUAAUUUUUAUUUUUUUUAUUUUUUAUACAUUUAUGCAUUUAUAAUACAUUUAUAAAUAUUUAUAAAUAAAUAUAUUUAUAUAUUCGCUAAAAAAUAUAUAAAUGUAUUAUAAAUGUAUAAGUGUAUAUUAUUAUAAAUGUAUAAAUUAUAAAGGAAUGUUAUAUAAAUGUAUAAAUUACAAUUUAUAAUUUAUAACUUUUAUAUUUUUAUAUAAAUAUGCAUUUAUGCAUUUAUAAUACAUUUAUAAAUAAAUACAUUUAUAUAUUUAUAUAAAAAUAUAAAAAUUUAUUAUAAAUUUAUUAUAUUAUAUAUAAUACAUAAUAUAAAUAUAUUUAUAAAUGUAUAAGUGUAUAUUAUUGUAAAUGUAUAUAUUAUAAAUGAAUAUUAUAUAAAUGUAUAAAUUAUAAAUUUAAAUUUACAAUUUUAUAUUUUUAUAUAAAUAUACAUUUAUGCAUUUAUAAUACAUUUAUAAAUAUUUAUAAAUAAAUAUAUUUUUGCAUUUAUAAAAAAUAUAUAAAUGUAUUAUAUUAUAUAUAAUACAUAAUAUAAAUAUAUUUAUAAACGUAUAAGUCUAUAUUAUUAUAAAUGGAUAAAUUACAAAUGAAUAUUAUAUAAAUGUAUAACUUAUAAUUUUAUUAAUAUAUGUUAAUAUUAAGUAUAAAUGUGUUAAUAUAAUUAAUAUAAAUGUACAAAUGUAUUAAUAUUAUGUAUAAAUAUAAAAUUAAUAUUAUGUAUGUUAAUAUAAAUGUAUAAAUGUAUUAUAUUAUGUAUAAUAUACAAUAUUAUGUAUAUUAUAAAUAUACAUUAAUAUAUAUUAUGUAUAAAUGUAUAUUUAUAUAAAUGUAUAAUAUAUAUAAUAUAUAUUAUAUAUUAUAUUAUAUAUAAAUUAUAUAAUAUAUAUUAUAUUAUAUAUAAAUUAUAUAAUAUAUAAUAUUCAUAUAAAUAUAUUAUAAAUAUAUAAAAAUAUUUUUUAAAUAAUAUAAAGUAUUUAUAAUAUGUAUAAAUAUUUAAUAUAUGUAAUAUACAUUAAUAUUAAUUAUAAAUAUUAUAAUAUUAUAAAUAUGGUGUUUAUAUAAUAUUUCAAUUUGUAAUAUUUAUUGUAUAUUUCAUUAUAUAAAUAUUCAUAUAAUAUAUAAUAUAUAAAUAUAUAAUUUUUAAUUUUUAAUUUUUAAUUUGUAUAAUAUACAUAAUAUUGUAUAUAUAUAAUAUAAUAUACAUAAUAUACAUUAUUACAUAUUAUGUAUAUUAUAUAUUAUACAUAACAUUAUUAUACAUUAUUAUACACAAUAAUGUACAUAAUAAUAUUCUACAUUAAUAAUGUAUAUAUAUUAUAAUAUAAUGUACAUAAUGUAUUAUGUAUAAAUAUUUGCACAUUUAUGUAUACAAUAUUACAUAUUAUGUAUAUUAUAUUAUAUUAUGGUUAAUAUACAAUAUUAUGUAUAAUAUUAAUGUAUAUAAAUAUUUAUAUAAUAUAUAAUAUAUAUAAUUUUCAAUUUGUAUAUUUCAAUUUAUAUUAAUAUAAUAUAUAUAAUAUACAUAAUUGAAAUAUACAUAUGUAGUUGUUUUUGAUAUAAUGUUUGGAUAUGGUGUUUUUUGAGUUGUUUUGGAAAUAUACAUUUACUGUAGCAUUUAGAAUGUGAAAAACAGUUUUUCAAAAACAGGCCCAAAAACAAGGGAUCCAAACACACCCUCAGGUUCCAAACAGGCCCUAUAUUUAUUCUUCAACCUUUCCUGCCACUUUUCAACUCCUUACCAUUUUCUUCCCUCCUUCCUCCCCCUGUACCUAACCUCUAAAUUCAUAUUCCUGCAACCCAAUAUAUUUAACUUUACCUAUCAUAAUGAAAAUUGAUUACAAUGGUUGUAAUUUUUAGUAUCUAAAAAUGGGAAUGAAAAAUUGAUAAUAUCUAUAAUAUUCUCAAAUACUACAAUUAAUAUAUAUAUAUAUAUAUAUAUAUAACAUAGCAAAUACAUAUAUUACAUAUGAAGACAGCAAUAAGAAUACAUAAAAUAAUUGAUGAUAUCAAAAGUUAUUCUCAGUGUUUGGAUUUUGCACUCUUAUUCAAAUCUAAUGUCAAAUUUGGGUCAAAUAUAUACAAAUUAAGUAGUAUUUUAGGGUUGAAUGUUCUAUAUUUUUCUUCUAAACUAUAAUGUUACUUUUUUUAAAAAAAAUUUUGAUAGAUUGGUGUUGUUAUUAUCAUUAUUUUUUUUUCAAAAUGAAUAUUUCAAAAAAAAAAUUCAUGUUAAAAGCUAGUAGUAUUUUGUUUUUUAUUUAGUGAUUUCAUAAUUUAGAUUUCAUGAAUGGUACCAUUUUUUAUUUUUUAAAUCCAUGACAUUAUUUCCUUUUUGCUUUCUAUUUAAUUUUGCCCUUUUACUUAGGAUUACUAAGUUAAAAGAUAAAAUAUUAUCAUUUACUUUUUUACUUUUACUAAGUUGGCAAUAUUUUCUUUUUAUUUACCUUCCCACUAAUAAAUUUCAAACCAAAUUCUUAUAUAAGCAGAACCCUACUCUUUUAAAUUAGGAAGGCAUGGAAGCCACAUAUUACUCAAGAAAAUGUUAUUUGCACUCCAUUUUUUAUUAUUUGCAAUUCCACCAUUUGUUUUAUCAUUUAGUCUAAUUAAUGAAAAUUAUACGAUCAAAAUGAUUAUUGAAGUAUGAAUAACAAAAAUGGAGUGUAAAUAAUCUUACUUAUUUAAAUUAAUAAGAAAGCAUGAAAGGAUGUUAUAUUUGUUAUCUCUUCUUAUGGUCUUAUAGAAGUUUUAAUUGUUGUAGAAUCAUAAAUAACGCAAAGCAAUCGGAAAUGUGAUGGGUUGAAAUUCAAAUAGGAUAACAUGCACAUUAACUAAUAAUUUGAAAUGAAAUAAUUUUAAAAAGUAACUAACAAUUUCAAAUGUGAAGAGUAGAUAUGGGAAGUUAAGAGGAAUAUAUUUUAUAAAUUAAAUUAAAUAUGAAAUGCUAAAAAAUUAGAAUUAGUAGUGGAAAGAUAUGCGAAGGCUUCUUCCUAAAAAUCCAUUCUUAAAUUUAUAUAAAUAUAGAUUAGGGAAAAAGAAAUCCAAAAGAAUUCAAUCAACCACCACCAGUGCAAACGGUCCGCAAAAUCACUUCGCCUUAACACGGGAGAUAUAUUUAAUCGGACUUGUUUGCGAAUUUGGCCGCAUAGUUUUCGAAAGGAUAGCAAUGUUCUAGAGCGAUGGUGGUGGCCUGAAAAUAUGCCGCGUGGCCGACCCUCAAAGCUCCAGCUAAAAUUACUGAACAGAGAGAGACUUGAUUUGGAAAUGGCUCAUCCCGCAUAAAGUUGAGGCCAUCGGAAGAUUUUUUGUCGUUCAUAAUUGCUUUCGUUUUCCGCAAAUUAUGAAUAGCUGCCGAUCAUCACAUCUCAUGCCGCGGCAUUGUCACGCCUUCGCCUUGUUUGGGAUCCACUAAAUGUCAUCUAAUUGCAAUUGGCAAAGAAAUCUAAUUGCCAAAUGAACAGCGUUAUACUAUUCAUUUUGUUAGCGGCUUCUUUAAGGAGUUUCAGUUUCAAGCAUUUUCGCAUGUUGUGAAUCAUUUUCACUGAUCAACUUAAAAGAUAAACAAUGGCAGAAGAUCAUGAACCAUAAUUUAUUUCAUUUUGUUAAGCUCAAUGUUUCUUACUUUGACACUACAUACACUAACAAUUGCGUGCCACGUGUAUGAGAAAAUUAAGAGUUCAAAUUCAAAUGAUUCAAUAUGUAUUCAAACUGAUUAGUUUAAGAAAGAUUAAUCCAUUAUAACAAGUUUAAGUUACUUGUUAACUAUGCAACAUGUAAUUACACUUUAUUUGGGCAUUCUAACCAAAAUCAACUUGCUCAUACCCGAGCCCUGUGUAAUAGUUAGUGUCUGUUUGAUAAUAUAAAAAAGUGCUGAAACUGAAUUCAUUCAAACAUUUAGAUGUUUUUGGUGUUUGAUAAAUAAAAAUUUUUCUGUUGAACUUAUUAAGUGGUGCUGAAUUUGUAUGUAUUUUUUUCAGCACAAUAAUCGUAACUGAAUGCUUAAUUUGAUAAGAAUCAAGAGAUUUACUUCAACUAUUUUAUCUUAUCAACCAAAUCUAUCAUUGUUUGUUAAUUACAUUCAAAAUCCUUAUCUAAUUAAACAACCUAAUAUUCUCUAUCCAAAAUCCUUAUCUAAUUAAACAACCUCACAUUCUCUGUCUAAUGGCUUUCUAUUUCUAUUUUCUCCCUAUUGAAUGACUUUGUUACAAUUUCUCCAUGCUACUCACAUCUGUCUACUCCUUAUCUUUUUACAUCUUUCUACUCUUUCAUAAUUUUGUCAUUUUUUUCCUCCCAAAAUUUUUUAUUGCUACCGUACUCUCCG